AUCAUCAUCCUUCCCUUCUGUCCUGAGGUUCUUCUGCACAGUGCCAAAAUUAUUACUAUUUUUUACCCUCAAGUAAAGGGAAAUUAAACUUAUAUUUAAACUUAACUACAAAAUAAAAUUUAAAAAAAAAGUUUAAAAAAAAAAACACCACCGUUUCUCUUUCUCGGUUCUCACUUUUCUCUACUCUGUGAUUCAUCAUCAUUCAUCAUUCAUGUUCAGUUGGCUUGAUUCGAAUCUCGAAACGACACCGUUUUUUAUUCUCUUUUUUUUGUUUUUUGUUUCUUUCCUUCACUCGAUGUUGCUAAUUCCCAUGCGCUUCACCACCGCGUUCCCAAUCGCUUCGGUUGGUAUUCUGAAGCCAUUCUUCUGUUCCAUCCCUGACAUGUAACUCCUCACUUCCUUUCUUAUCAUCUCUUGCAUCACUCUCAAGAACUCCGCGUUGAACAUUUGCUUCCCCCGCUGCUCCACCGGCUCCGCCGGAGGCGGUGACGGCGGAGACACCGAUACCGGUCGAGGUGCGCAAACUGGGUUAGACCCGGACCCGAACCCGGGGAGAGACAAACUCAGUGACGUGGCUGGAUCGCAAGCAGAAGAAGCGGUUUCCAUGAGAUUGGGCCUGUAAUGGGCCGAGGGGGAGGGGUUUGAGAGAGCGGGCAGGCUCGGAUCGCUCAAAUCGGAGCCCGAUGGGCUGCCAGGGUUCAAAUGGGCCGGGCCGACGCUUGCAGAUCUUUUAAGAGGCGGACGAUCGGUGACGUCGUCACUAACGGCGGAACAUUUUUUUCUCUUGAGAGUGGAGUUCCAGUGGUUUUUGACGGCGUUAUCGGUGCGGCCGUUGUUGAGAAGGCGAGCUAUGGUGGCCCACUUGUUGCCGAACCUGGCGUGAGCCCUGACGAUGGCCUCGUCCUCGUCCGGCGAGAAGGGGCGGUGGGCCACCUGCGGCGAGAGCUGGUUGCACCACCGUAAGCGGCACGAUUUCCCGGAUCGUCCCGGAACGGACUUGCUUAUCACCGACCAGUUUCGAGGCCCGUGGGCCUGAACCAGCCUCCGCAAAGCCUCGUCCUCUUCUGGGCUCCAUGGACCCUUCACCCGAUCCAUUUCCCUGAUGAUGCCGUCUUAACAAUAACAAAAUAGUAUCAUUAAAAUAAAAAUUGUGAAGCAGGGAAGAAGAGAGCGAGGUGGUGGUGGUGGUGUUUUGUGUUGUGGUUAUGAGAAGGUUGAGGGGUUUGGAGCAGAAAUAGAAAAAUGUUAAAGGCGAUAAGGAUGACCGGAUGGGCCUGUCGAUGUGACCGGUUGGGGCGGUUGGCGAAGCAGUUACUUACUUGCUAGCACACAGCUGGCAAACCAACACGCGUGGGAGUUGGAGGAUCCUCACGGUUACACGUAUGAUCACGCCAUCGGUGCUGCGUUACUGUUACUGUGUUAGUUAUUUUAUCUUUAAUCUAUAUCUUUAAUCUUUAAUCUUUAGUUUAUCUAUUCUAUCUAUGAAGAGAAUAUUACUAACUAUUUUUUGUCUUCAUCUUUUUAAGAUUAUUUUAUCCUUGGUAAUACUAAAUAUUAAUUAAUCUUUUUUUUAUUCCAAGAAUAAUAGUGUAAUCGUCUUUCAUUUGUAGUCUCUUCCUCAAUUGUAUAUAAUCUCUCAAUGUACCAUAUACAUUCUAUCCCACAAAACUUUCAAUCAAAAUUUAACUCCUUAAAGAAAAGUAUUUUCAAUUUAGUGAAAAAUAGCUGUCCUGUGAGUGUUUAUUAUUUUUUAAUAUAUAUAUAUAUAUAUAUAUAUAUAUAUAUAUAUAUAUAUAUAUAUAUUUACAUGUAACAAUUUAUUUAAUUUUUCUCCCUCCCAUGCCACAUUAGUUACUUAGUGAAGGAAAAUAUUUUCAUUUCAGAAUAUUUGUGUGGGAUUUCAAAUAAGUGUAGGUAUCAAUUUUAAAUUAAUUAUUUGUUUUACUCUCUACUUACAUUAAAAAAAAAAAAAAACUCCCUCCAUUGAUUCAUUAACUCCUAUUGUCUUAUCUUUGUCUCUCAAUUCUCUUUGUUAGCAUAUUAUUUAUUUAUUUUACAUAAUUUUAGUAUGUGUGUAUAUACAUAUUUAAUUUAGGAAAAAAAGAAUUCCUGCAAAUGAAUAAAUAUGAGUAACCAUCAUUAUCUUAGACAUUUAAUAAUUAUUUUUAUCUCUAUAAUUAAAUACCCACUCUUGACUUAAACAUAUAUAUUAGACAAGCAAGGAGUAGAUUAAUUGAUGGUUUAAAAGCUUUAAAAAACAAAGAUUGAAAAUAAAAAUCUAAAGAGAGAAUAGAGAAGUUAUCAUGCAAGCACAGAAAAAAAAAACUUACAUUUGUAAGUUUUUUUAACUUAUGCUCUUCUUCUUUGUAUUAUUUUAUAGAUUUUUUUAUUUAUAAAAAUUAAGAUAAUUUUUUAUUUCACUAAUUAUUAAAUUUAGAUAUUUUUUUAAUAUCAUUAAAAUACGAUGGACUACAAACAAUUUAUAAAAAGUAAUAUAAAAAAUUGUAUAAAUCAAGAUAUAUUAAAAAAUAUAUUAAAUUAAAAAUAGUAUACACAUCAAUUAAAAAAUAAUAUAAUGCAAUAAAAAUGCACACAGGCGCGCUGGUAUGUUUUGGCUAGUUAUCGAUAAAGCAAUAACUAAUUAACUAAUCUUCUUCCGCUCAAACUCGAUUAGAUUGGAUUGAAUUAAAUUAAAAUAAAAAAUGAAAAAACGGCCACCAAUAGGGAAGAGAAUCCACGCAUUCAUUCAAGAAUAUCUCCUCCUUGUUGACUAUGGCCGUUGAACAGUUGCUGCUCAAUCUAAUUAAUUAAUUAAUUCCGAGACAAAUACGCUAAUCUCCAUUUCCAGCCGUACAUUGAUAAAGAAAAAGUAAUAAGUAACUAACGAAUUUUAAAACCAUGGUACUACUAAGCAAAGGGCGAUAGAAAAUAACUAGAAAUACGGAAAUAGAGUAUAUAUCUAGAUUGGUGUAUGAACCAAAUUAUACGAGUUCAUUUAGUUUGUUUAAAAAAUUAUUCAGUCAUGGUUUCUGCUUUUAAAGUAUAUAUGAUUAGUUUUAAAAGAUAAAUACAUACCAAUUUAGUUUCUAAAAAUUUAUUAAUGAUUGUUUAGUUUUUUUAAAUAAAUUAAGUCAGGUAAGUUUUUUUCGGUGAUCAGAUUAAAUUUUUACUUUUAAAACUCAACGGUUUUUGUUGAAAGAUAACUACUUACAGUUUCAAACGGUAUUUUUUUUUUUUUUUUGCUGAAACCCAAAAUUAAACAUUAAGUUAAUUGACUGCCUCUAGAUUUCUUUUCUGUUAAAAUAAAAUAAGAAAAUGUUAAUAUUAAUACUUAAGACUGAUUUCAUUAUUAAAAGUUUAAAAUUUGUUAAGAAAUGGAGUAUUUUUGUACUUUCACCUUUGAGAUGUAUUGGAUUUUUUUUAUUAAUUCUAAUUGUUUAAAAUUAAUCCUAAAGGAUUAUCUUAAGUAAUGCCAUGAAAUCAACAUAAUUUCAUUAAAGUAAUUCUCACUUUUUGUUAAACGGGAGUUUCUUUAUACUUGUACCUUCUAAGAAAUUUCGGGUAACAAACUGUCAAAAUAAACAACAUUUCAGAUAAUAAUAAAAGUAUGUGUUUAAGAGUUUGUAAACAUGUAGAUUUGUGUUUAAUUCCUAAUUAUGCACACGGAGAAACUUUGUUGAACGAGAUAAAAUUCAUCUCAAUGAGCUAUAUUUUGAAAAGAUUAAUCUUUGAUUAUUGACUAGAAAUACCUUUAAAUAACACAAAGGAAUGUUUAACUAUUAAUUAGAGCAAACAAUUUUCUCUUAACAAACAAUUCUUAUUUAAUAAUAAUUCAUUUUGUAUCUGUUUAAUAGAUUUGCAAAUUUGAAAGAAAGCAAUAAAUGUCAGAGGUUUAAAUGUGUGUUCUUCGUUAGCUUAAGGGAAAUGAUAUCGUAUCUUGUAGUUUUAAAAGAUGAGUUGAUUUUUCUAUGGUGGUGUUCUGUGUUCAUUGAUGGUUGAGGGUUUACCUACAAAAGUUUCAAUGUCUAAGUCAGGGAUGUUACGUACAAGAGCUUCAAUGUCUUGGUUAGUAUAAAUCGAAGUUAAGAGAUGGUAGGAGAAAAAAUAAUAGUGACCUUUUCUCAAAUUGAUCCAAAGUAUUUAUGCAUCUCUGUUGACCUUAUUCAAAGUAUUUAAUCAAAGUUACACGGUUUGAAAUUUGAAUGCAAGUUUGUUACCCCUGCGAGUUUAAACUGUUGUGGUGGGUGAUUGAAUUUGUUUAAUUAGUAAGUGGAUCAACCUAAUGGAGCCAUUAUAGAUCUGAACCGAGGUUCAGAAUUUAUUGAAUAAAAAUUUAGUUAUAUAUAAUAGUCAUUUUUUUGUUUAAUAUGUUACACAACAAUUUUGAAAAAUACUCAUAUUUAUAUUAGUAUGGAUUUAGUAAGUAAAUUUUAAGGAAAUAUGAAUUCUUCUUAUAUUAAAAUUAAAAAUUUUAAGAUUUUACGUAUAUUUAUUUAUCACUUAAAAAUUAAAAACAAUAUUAAAUAAUAUUUACUUUUAUCUCUACUUAGUUUUUAAAUAUUGACAAACUUAUCAAAAAUAAUAAUGAUAAUAAAAUUAUCUUAAGAGAUUAAAAUUAAUACAUAAAAAUAUUAAUAUACUUUUUAGUCUGUAUAUUAUCUUCUUAAACUGACAAAUACAAUAGGAAGAAGAAGAAACAAAAAAUAAAUAAAAAUAGAAAUACUAGUGCAAUACCAAAUUGCCUCGAGGAUAUGGUCCUUUGACUCCUUUCAGGUUUGGGAACUAGGAAGGAACCCACCGAGAAAGUCAGAAGCAUUUUCCUAUUAGUGAGUGGAUCUAUAAAGGAACCCUCAAUAAUUUAAUUAUUAUUCUUUUAGUAGUAGUUUAAAUAUUUAUAAUUAUAAAUUAUUUUAAGUGUAAUUUUUAAAAUAAUUAUUAUAAUGAUUAUAAACUUAAGAUUCAUAUUAAUUUAAAAUUGAAUGAUAAUAUACAAGUCGGAACCAAACAAAUCGACGUAAGAAUUAUAAGAAGAAGAAAAAAAUAAUUAAGAAUGAGAUUUUAAAUAAUAAAAAAUUGUAAUAUCUAAAAAUUUCGUUUUAUUUAAUUUUUAAAAUUGUACUAAAAUUAAUUAUAAAAAUCAUGUUAAAAACAAGUUACUACAAGAACAAACAUCUAGAAAUAUGUAAUAAAAAGAAAAGGAGAAAGGUAAGGGAUGAACUGGCUUAGAAAACGACAAAUUGAAGUAGCACAAUCUGGGGAUCUACUAAUAUCCUGUCACCAAAUUCCAGCCUGUCAUAACCCUAAAGUCACACACUCCUAACGGCCUUCUUCCCCACAUUACCCUCACUUUGCAGUUCUUGCUUUAUUAACCUUUAAUUUUUUGUGGAUUUGUCAAAUUUAUCUAGGGACAUGUAAACCUUAUAUUACGGGUUUUUUUUUUAAUUAUAAAAUAUUAUACUAAAUGUUUUUAAAAUAAAUAUUAAAUAAAUUUUCAUUUGUCAUGUAUUGCUCCCUUUCAUCUCAUUUAUUAUAAAUAACAAAAAUCACUUGUUUUUGUCAAAAAAAUAAAAAAAAUAAAUUUCGUCUUAUUUAAUUAAAUUAUCUUUAAAAUGUUAUAUUUCUUUACUUCUUAUUCAUAAGAUUCAAGUUUAGAUUUGUGUUAUUUUCUUUUAUAAAAUUCAAUUUAUAAUAUUUUUUACAUUAAUUAUUUUUAGAUUAAAAUUAUUUUUAAUUUAAAAAAAAAAGAAAAAAUAUAUUGACAAAUAAAUAGAUGAGAAAACAAUAUUAAUUAUAAACACAGUUUUAAAAAAAGUUAUAAAUUUAAGAUAAAUUUAUUGUUAUCGAUUAAGUUAAAUAAUUCUAUUAAACUUUAUGAAUUAAGUAAUUGAAUGUUAUAUAUAAAAACGAAGAGGAAGAAAGUAUCAAAUUUUAGUGAAUGAUACUUUAGAGAGAGAAAAAAAAAUGCUUGAUAUCAAUAGUGCGUCUAUUGUCAAGUUAAAGUGGGCAUGUUGCGGGACUCGCUUUAUCUAUAUUAUGAAAGUAUUUGAGUGAUUCAAGACCAAAGACUAAUUCUUUUUUUUAAAAAAAAAAAAAAAAAACCAAAGACUAACUACAUACGCGGUUUGUCGAUAUCAACACUAAACCGAUUGAGCUUCCCAACACACAUUUGCCUCACUUAACUUAGUUUACAAUUAUGUUUGGUUGUCUUUAAAAGUAAUUUUUUCAUAUAUGUUUGACACUAAAUUGAGUUUCAAUUGGAAGCAAUAUAUGGAUUGUUUAUUAAAGUUCAUUUUCUAUCAGCAAUAUUUAUUCAAGAGCAACAUCAAGUAAAAAUACAAUAGAUAAGAAUUAUUCAAAUAAGUUUUAUUUAAUUAGCAUACUUAAAAAAUAUCUAAACAUAAAUCGCAUUAAUAAACUCUUUUUAUUUAUCAAACUUAAAUUUAUAAUAUACUUUUAAUUUAAACUUAUAGUUGUAAAUUUUAAUCCAAAUAUACACUUAACCAAAUCAUUUGCCACAGAAGUGAAGAGAGCUAGAGAAGCUAAUGCUCAUGAGUCAUGAGUGAAAUAAUUAUCAUUGUACUUAAUGCUAGUUAAAAGAUUUUGUACAUUGACCAUUGGGGUUUGAUAAAAAUAGCGUAAUCGAUGGUCUAGAAUCUGGAUCCAGUGCAAUAAAUAUUAUAUUAAUGAAUUUAAAGUAUGAAACCAUGAAUAACUAAGGCUAAUUAUCAGCAUGUUAGUGGUGCAAGCGUUAUAGGUAAUUUGGUUUGGUCAUAAAAUUUAAUUGUAUGGGAUUGCUGUUGUAAGUUUGAAACUUAAAGUUAUUAAAAUUAAACUUUAUUAUAUUAAAAUAUAAGUUAUUUAACAUUUAUUUUAGGCAAUUUAAAAUAGUUAAUAGUAUAUAUUUAACUUCUUUAUAUGAUCAUAUGUUUAAUUACAGAAUAUAAAAAAAAAUCUUUAUAUCAUAUACUAUAUAAUAGAACCUUUCUUUAAAUGUAUAUAGCAUUACCAUUAAUGACACCGUUGAGAAAUAAUGAAAGAAAAAUAGAAUAAGAGUAUGGAAUAAGAAAACAAAAUUACAAAAAAAAUAUUAAAAGCGAAACAAUUAAAGAAUUAAUAAAUAAUUUUUAAGAAAAUCAUGGUGAACUAUAUUAAUGAUACUAAAAAUUAUAAUUUUAAUAUUUUUUCUUAUUUUUCAGUCAUAAUUUUGAAGUAGUCAUAUAAGAUAGUUAAUAUUCUUUUAUCAUAUACCAGAGACACGAUUAAAAAACAACAACAGCUGUACAUGCAUAAGCAACAAGUCUGAUUCUUCGUGAUAGGGACUGUCCAUGAUAAUACAUUAUACAUGCAUAUUGCAUAAGCAACAAAGCCAACAAGUCUCGUCGCCGAAAAAUAAUAUUGAAUGCAAAGUGAUGUGCAUUGAAAUUUGGCCGUGCGAUAUGAGUGGUAUUAUGAGAUUGUAUACAAAAAGAAUUAGAAAAUUUGUGUAAUAAGAUAUAUGACUUUAACUUUAAUUACUCCUAAAAGGUGGAUCCAAUGAAAAAUUAAUUAAUUAGUUGGAUGUGAAAUGAAAGAUCCAUAUAUAUCUUAAUUAUAAGAAAAAAUGAAUAAGGGGUUUCUAUUUGCUUUCUCUCAUUUUUUUUUUUGUCUGAAUUUGCUUUCUCUCAUAUCGCUAAUGCACUCUCCUUUAUAAUUUCUUUUGCCAAAACGCCCUGGAACCCCUUUAUAAUUAUGUUUCUCCUUCAAUAGAUGAUUUUGCUCUCCUUUCCAUCGUCAUCAUCGCCAGCUCCUAGAAAUACCUCCAAUUUGAAAAAACAAACCACUGCAACAUGAUCAAAAUGGUGAAGUAGAUUAGAAAAAUCAGUGCAAAAAUUCUAUAAAUAAUAAGAGGGUGUGACAGUGACGGAGGAACUGAAAUUAAAGAGGAAAAAAAAAAAGAAAACAACUUGAGUGAAACUGAUUAUUUGAUAUCGAAAGGGAGACAAAAAACUGAGUGAACCAUCCUUAACCCAUAACCCUCAUCCUAUCCAUUAACAAACCAAUAUUCACACCACAAAAUCAAUCAAACCAAAAGCAAUACCACAAUCUUCAUUGAAUAAAAGUAUUUCAUCGGCGGCCGAAUUGAGGAGAAUGAUGAAAGAAAGAAAAAUGUUUUUUUGGACACCUCAUAUGUUAAUACACUAUACACCUAGAGUAGUAGAGAAAAGAAUAUUGGCGGGCCAAUUUCAUGUGUCAAGAAUGGCAAUAAAAGAGAGAUAGACACAUAGGGUGUCAAUACAAUGACUUGAAAGUCUGAAUGUCGAAUCCACGUGAAUUUUAUUUGUAUUUAGAUUGAUUCAAAUUCACCUAAUUUAUAAGAGAUAAGAAACUUAAAAUAAAAGAUAAAAAGAGGUAGGAGAUAAGAUAAAUAUUUAAAAGAAAAGAUAAGAGAUUUAAAGAUUAAAAAUAAAAGAUAAAAUAGAUAAAAGAGUUAAAGAUAAGAAAAGUAAAAGAUAAGGUAAUGAUAAAAAGAUAAUUUAGAAUGCAAAUAUGUUAGAGUCUAGCAUGCCAAAACCACUUGUGAUACAAUGUUAAAUGAUUUUCUCUAUCUAUUGUUAUCCCAGUUUCGACACACACAUGUGCUAUGAUACUCUAUUUUUGGUUUCCCGCACAAAAACCUAAUUUAUCCAUUCUUUUCUUCCAAAUUUCUUUACAAAGAUAAAAAUAAUAAAUCGUAUAAAAAUUAGAUAUGCAUGAAAUAGGCUAAACAAAUAUCAAUCUAUUUCUAGUAAUGAUUUCUUUUAAAUACCUUUUCCCAUUUUAUUAGAAAACAACCAUUUUUUAAUCCAUUAUUCCCUAAAUAUCAUAUGGAUGGUCAGACCAUAAUAAACAAUUAAGCAUAGAAAAAGUAAUAGAAAUAAAUUGCAUUAAAUAGAUAUAAUAAAAAAGAGUUAUAUUACAAGAGUUGCCCUGUGAGACUCCCAACAAUGGGAUUUUAACCUAUCAUUGUCAUAAGAGGUUUUACACUUUAGGGGCUGAGGUGGAUAGAAGAAGAGAGAUAGAUAAAGGAAGAGAAAUGGAUAAUGGACAUAAAAAGAGGGUUUUCCCUAUUAGAGAUACUCAGGCUUAGGAUGUAUUCAUUAGAGAUACUUUGAGUCUCCGGGGGGUGGUGUGUAGGGAUUGGUAUCUCAUUGUGUAAUUCUCCUUUGCUUCCUACUCUUUUUAUAAGCCUUAAAGUAGCUUAAUUUACACGCGACCUCGCACUUAGCACGGGCUUUUGCGCUAAGCGCGACUUUGGACUUCUUUGUGGAUUUUCUUCGCGCUAAGCGUGAGCUGACCGCUAAGCGAGAAAACGCGCUGAGCCUAUCUUGGGCGCUAAGCAAACUAUCCCAAUCUUCAACUUUUUCUUCAAGUUUUUGCAUUAAUUUUUCUUCAAAGCACUUGAAAUCUUCUUCUUUUAAAUUAUGCUAAUAAAAACUACAAAGAUAUCAAUUUCUUUAUUAUUUCAUUAAAAACAACAGUAAAGUAAAUAAACUACAAUCAUUCUUAGCCAAAAUUGACUCAAAUUUCACAAUUAUCACUAAAAUAUUGAGAUGUCUAACAAUCGCUGCUAUGAAAUAAAUAGGAAAAGGAGACUGUAAAAUUACAAAUACAUUAGCCAUGAAGAUUAAUUUCAGGGGUAUUUGGGAGAAAAGAAUUACUGACGAGAAUGUGUUAGUAAUAAUGGGAGGUGUAAAUAGCAAUUCCCAAAUGAAUAAAGAUACACUACUUAAUGACAAAAUAUUAUUUUAUAUAUUCUGCUUAUCAAUUAUAUAUUGUGUUAUAAAGUGAAAAUAAAUUUUGUGAGAUCUUUAAUUUUAAUAUUAAAAACUUCAAUUAAUAUGUAAUAGAAUUAUAUAAUUAAAAUGUGCAAAUCAUAAAUGGUAUAUUUGUCUUGAUAACUUUAACUAACAUUCUUUUGGUGAUUAAUUACUUUAAUUAACAUAACUUUAUACUUUAUUAAUUAAAAUAAGAAAAUUAUUUACAUUUUAACGGUAAAAAUUAUGAAAGUAUUCCUACAUGAUAUAUGCUUACAUAAUAAAACUUUCUUUGUUUUCACACAAACACACUCUACAUAGUACUCUCGCAUGUAUCUGUGGGUAAUAUUGGUUGGUGUGUCAUGUGUGUGUGGGUUGAUUCACUUCAAUAUUGAUUUAUUCCCUUGAGUUAGGAUAUUCCUGUGACUGAAGGAAAAAUUGUUUUUUUAAAAGGCAAAACGAAACAAAUCUUAUUAAUGAAUCCAAAAAAAAAAAAAAAUCUUGUUAGCCUUGCAAGGCACAAGAUACAAGAUAUGACCCAAACAAAAUUAUAAGCAUAGUCCGAAGUUAAAAUAUGUAGUAUUCCAUUUAUAAUAUCCCCUUCUCUAUUUUUUAUUUAAUUAAUUUCAACUAUAAACUUAAAGUUGAUUGAAUGAAGGAAAAAAUAUUUCUCAAUAUUACUUAUUUAAAUUAUCUUUGUUCCAGCUUUUUUAUUUCUUGAAAAUUAUUUUAAGGUUCAAAUUCAAAAUAUGAACUUUAAUAAAAAGGAAAUAUAUUUGAUCAUUUUGGUUUAAAAAUUUAUUUUAAACCAAAAGAAAUAACUUAUUUUUAAAACUUACUCGUAUUAGCUUUCAUAAGAAAAAAAAAGGCUAGAGUAUAUAGUUUAAUGAAUAUUCAUCAUUAAAAAAAGUCUGUAGAUAGUUUCACUAAUAACAUAAUCAUAAAAAUUAUAUUAAUAUAUACUGACUUUUUUUAUAUAAAAUUAGUUAUAGAAAGUUAAUUUUAUAAAAAAAUUGUACUUUUUAUUAAAAAAAAUAAGUUUCAUUGGUUUAAUUUCUCGAUUUAAAGAGAAAAGGGUUAAAAAAAUGUUGGGACAAAAACUAUCUUAAAUAUAUAUUUUUUAUAAUGUUUUUUAUUUCUUUCUUUAUUAGUUUUUCGUCAAAAAAAAUAUGAGGGAAUACCCUGUCCCUAAAUUUUGAAGAAAUGUUCCACUUGUACGUGGCAAAAGGAAAAUUACGAGGAGGUGUAAUUGCAAUAAUCUGCGUGAGCACGAAUUAUGACAUUGACUAUGAGUCUUGCAUGUUUUGUGGGGGCAAAAAUGAUAGGAAAAAAAAAACUCAACUUGUAUGUAACCUUUAAAAUGUUAUCAUCCACAAAAGAGAAAAAAAAAUAAUAAUCUUAAAGUGUUGUAUAAUUUUAAAUAAAAAAAAAAAAAAUCUGUAGUAUAUCUUUUUUCAACGCGAAACAGCUGUCUGCAACUUCCACUCACGGUCUCACACCUUUUCGUGCUUAAUUUCACACGUGCCACAAACCGAUUCAUUUUUUAAAAACAAAAAUAAAUAAAUAAAAUAAUACGUCAUACAUAGAACUUGGAUUUGGAUGUGCGUGCGUACGUCCUUUGCCCGUACUAUUUUUGUGCCAAUUAACUAAUCCUAUUCCUAUCGUCCCGUUUAUCGGACUUCAAACACAUCGUGCUUAUCACGUGAUUCUGACAUAUCUACUUGUAUAGUACAGUAUAAAUUAUCAUUAUAAUUUUUAAUUUGAAAAGUAAGGAUCUUCUUUUCUCAAUUAACAGUAUACUUUCUUAACAUAUUCUUUUGUUAUAAUUAUAAUUUAUAAGAAAUUGCAAAUAAUGAUUGAGAUUCGGUAAAUAAAAAAUACUGUAACAUAAAUCUAAAUUUGUAUUAGAGAAGUAUAUUUUUUUUAUGAUUUUUAAUAAAUCAUUUAAAAAAUUAUGUUAAAAAAAUGUAUUAGCAAAUAUAAGUAUGCUAAAUAAAUCUAAAUUUGUAAGUACUUGUCCGACUCCAACCUAUUUUAGUAGAUAAUAAAAAAUUUAGACUUUGUUUGAUUGAUUUGAAAAAAAAUUGAGGUGUGAAAAUGAAAAGAAAUGAAAAAUAAAAAAAAAUAUUUGUUUGUUAGAGGAGAAAGUAAGAUAAAAUAUUUUUAAAAAAAAUGUAUACCCCAGCGACAAAAUAUGGAUCCCAAAAUGAGAUGAAAAACCAUUAAUUGCACAGUAAAAAGCAACGAAGGAGCGUGGUUUUUACCUUCUCGCGAGUACUUGAUUCUACUCCUCUAGCAUCACGCGAGAUAAAACUUGCAGGAGCAUCAUUAUUAUUUAGCAACAAUUUGAGGGCUGCUUGCUGUAUCUUAUUAAGUUUUGGCAUAAACUAUUUGUUUUACAAUCUGAUAUGUUUUGAGUGGCUGUGGAAGUAGUUGACACAUCUUGUUUUCUAUAAUUAAUCAAAGGGGGACCAUUGUAUUUCAUAGGAUUCUGUGUGGUAAUUUCACUGACUAUCCAUUUCUUGGCACUUGAGCAUCUCUCAAGUUUAGCCUUAUCUUUAUUCCUUGAGUUUUUCUUUGUUUUAAGAGGCAUUACCAUUGGCACCCCUUAACUUGCCCAUCUGUAAAUUGAGAAAUAGAACUGGCCAUUACUAGCACUUUGUGAAACUUCACCAAUAGCCCACUAUUAAAGAAAAUGUCUUGUGGAUGUGUAAGGCCUAAUCGAUUAUUUGCCUUUCAAUUUUAAAAAUAAUCUCAACCAAACAAUUUUACUUUUUACUAUCCUGUUCUCAUUUCACCCAUUUUCAUUGCUGACCCUUUCAUUCAUUUUCUUUUCUUUCUACCAUAAACAAUGUUAGCCUGGUCAAUUUUGGGCUUGGGAAUGUUCCUCUUGCCCCUCUCAUGAACUCAUCUAACUAUAGAUUGAAUAUUGAAAUAACACACACACAAUAAUUAAAUAAUAAGGUUAAAAUUAUAAUGAUAACGAGUGUUUGAUGGUUGUCUCCACUUUUAAAGUUGAUCAAUCAAGCGAUUUUCGAUAACUUGAGCCACUCGGACAUACGACACUUCCAGCAGUUUGACGAGAUCUCUUUCUUCGCAAUGUUGUGCACCUCAAAGUCUUUUGGGUAUACCACUAAAGUAGUGUGGUCAUGUGGGUCAAUCAGUAGGGAGUUUAUCUUAUGUUUUCACAAACUAAGUUUGAGGGAUAAGUUUGGAAAAGGGGAAAGGAUUCAAAGGUAGAAGUCAAUUAAAAUUUUAAAAUUAAAUAGUUGACAAAUGACUCCUUUUAAGUGAACUGUAGAAUUAUUCAGCUUUUAGAGUUCAGAGAGGAGGAAACAUUUCUCAAAAAGGAAUGACUAGCUAAUAACUUUUCAAAAAUGAUAAGAUUUAAUGAGUAAUAUCAUUUUUCUUAAAAGAAACCACACACACACACAUAUAUAUAUAUAAAUUGGACACAAUGUAUGAUUAAAAUUAUAUACAUAAGUAAUGAUUUGUUGAUUAAACCCUUUAAACAUAUAACAGUGAUUACUCAUUAACUAGUAUUCUAUUUUUUCGAAGAAUUAAUUUCAUGACUUAUGUAUGUGAGAAAAUCUUGAUUAUUUAAAGAGCCAUAAUGAUAUUAAGGGCAAGACAUCACAAAAUGAUUUUUCUAUCAUUAAGUUAGUGCAAACUUAAGGAUGAAUAAUGGAUAGAUAAAAUUAUACAUACAUUUAGGUGUGUUUAUUUAUUUGGGUAAACUUGAUGAGUUUGGAAGAAAAAAGAAUGAAAAUGAUUUUGAAAAGUUAAAGUUUUGAAUCAAAUUAAUUAAUAUGAUUUAUAUAAAGUCCAAUUUAAAUAAAAUUAAUAAAAUCCAAUCAUUUUUUUAUUUGGGUAUUGGCUGUGUUAUUAGAACCCAAUAACUCGUUAUCCGAACUUGCAAUUGUAAAAUAAACUUCCUUAAUUUAAUAAAUGCACCUCCUCUAUGUAUUUUUCUCUCUCUCUCUCUCAAAUAUAUACCCCCUUUUGUGGAAAUUAUGAAGAGUUUUUUUUUUUUUUAGAUUUAUAAAUUUUUUGAGAUUAUUCCUGUAUUUAGAGUGUGUAAUGACUAUGAAAAAAUGUAACAUUCAUGUGGAUCUUAUAUGAUUUGUGAAGCUAAGGGAAUAAUUAUUCUCACUACCUAAAUUAACAUUGACAUUAUCAAUCAUAACAAUUUGAUCAUUUUAUCCUUCUUCCUUUUUUCCACAUCCCUAACUUUUUUCCCUUCCUCUCUCAUUUACCCCUUCCUCUUCCAUAACAUACUCAACCCUUUUUUCUUCCUCUCUCAUUUCUCCAAUUAUUAUCUUCUCUCUCAUUUCCCUCAUACCACCAAUGUGUUAAUUUUUUUACACAACGAAAUUAUAUUUUUGUUAUAUUUUUAACAAAGUGAAAACAUGAUUUUGUAUUUUUUUUAUAAAUUUUCUAAACACAACUUUCAUCGUGUAAUUUUUUAGAGAAAUUUUUUGGAAAGGACUCAUCUAAUCUGAACACAUGAUUAUUAGGGAGUUGCAAUUGACCCCAAUGCCUUUUGCUAUUCACUCCUAUCCCUCAAAAUUCCAAAAUUAUCCAUCCCUGAAAUGCACUACGAAAUUGUGUUUUUGCUGCAUAACAGGAGGUGUAAAAGCUAUACACAACAAAAUUAUAAUUUCAUUGUGCAGUGAAAAGAUGAUCCCAUAAUGCGUCUUGGACUAUAAAGAAAAACACAAUAAAAUUUGUAUUUUUGUUAUAUUUAUUUUUGUUUUUUUGGAUUUUUUAUUAAUUAUAAAUAUAAGUUAUCUUUUUUAAAGUAAUCAAAUUAAUUGUAUAACAUCCUGACGACAAGGACAUCAACUACUAAAAUAAAAUGUAUGUAGAAAAGUAGUAUUAAAAUAGAAUGACAUCUCUUUCAAAAAAAAUAAAAACCAAAUAGAAUGGUAUUUUUUUAAAAUCAAAGGAAGUCACAUGAUUUCAUUAGUUAUCGAAGCAUGAAUAGAAGUUGGAGUAUUGAUAAAAAAAUGAGGACUAACAUAACAUUUAGACUCCCUUAAUAGUUAAUGGACCACUCAAUUAGCUUGUUUACCAAUAAAACUCACUAGAGAGUUAUGAAAAGAGAAAAAACACACCUUUGCCUGAAGAAUAAUAGCAUCAAACUCAGAUUGAAUUGAGGUAACUUUGCUAAAACUAUCAGUGACAACUUUGCAGUCAAGUUCAAAGGAGAUGUUGUUGUGUAGCGUAUUUAUAUUCUUAGGCCAUUGGAAAGCAGUAAGCAUAGCCAUGGAUUCAGCUUCAUAAGGAGGAAGUAAUCCUUAUCAAUUUAAUAUUUACAAAUAUUCAUCAAAUUAUAGCAUUAAAUAUGGAAGAAAAAUAAUCAAAGGCAUUGAAAGAUAAAACGAAAGAUAAAACAGCUGCAAUUAACACAGUGUCGGAAUCGGACUACGGGCAUAUAUUUGCCAACAAAAGGGCCCGAUUAUGGAUGGGUCGUUGGUAGGCCUAGCCCAAAUCAAAUACUGAUUGCAUCAACUGUGAAUAUCAACAGAUAAAUCCAAGAUGAAAACGGUGAAUUAGUAAGCGUUGAUUUUAGCAUAUUUUUCAUAUAUUUAAAUUGUACAUUUUAAUAUUAUAAUAAACCGUACAUCACUCUCACAUAUUACAUCUAAUCUCAUGAAAAUUCACUUCGAGUGUCAGACGUUAGACACGAACACACAGUAGUAACGCAAGAUCUAAUAAACUAAUACAAUGUAGCUAUUUCUAUUUGUCUUGCAUACACAGUAGCAAAAAUUUUAUUUUAUGAAAGCCCAAGACAGAUAUAUUUAACAUUAAAGUAACACCUCAAUUAGAUAGACGUUAGAUUCACUCAUCACUCACUCCGGAGACAUCAAUUUAUUUUCCGAUGCCCACAUUAUGAUCCAUCAUGGUUGCCAAGUUCCAUGCAUCCCCAGAUGAAGCACGCGGGAAACCUAAUUAGCAGUGAUCUUUAUCCCACACUAAUCAGUUGCUCGAUCAAGCAUGGAGUGCCAAAGAAGAUUUUUUGUUUGUUUUUUUAUAGCAAUUUUAUAAGUUGAUAAAUUAGUGUAACAUUGUGAAGAAAUAGAUGAACUCAAUUAUGGCGGUGAGGUUUGUCUUGUCAUGUUUUUCUUUGUGCGUUUUGGUAGUAGCUGCAACCGUGGAGGAUUAGGGGCAGUUUCUAAGGACAUAUUUGUUCUGGCAGGACAGAGCAACAUGGCUGGACCAGGUGGCGUUUUCGGGGGGAAAUGGGAAGGUAAUGCCCCAGCGGAGUGCAGGCCCAGCCCAUGGGUUUUGAGGCGGAGCGCGGGCCUGGAGUGGGAGGAGGCACGUGAGCCUCUGCAUGAGGACAACGAUGUGGCCAAGACAUGUGGCGUUGGGCCCGGCAUGGCGUUCGCGAACGAGGUUGUCAAAGCCCGUGGUGGAUGCGUCUAAAGCCAGAUAAACUUCAGCUUAGCACCAAGUCUCAGAUUCACUUGGGCAUUCAGUUAGCACGUGCCUAUCUCGAUUCCACCACCCACAAUCAUCACCAAUUUAACUCUAUCAUUAAUCACACGCAAGUUUUAGCUUGUUAAGAAUGCAUUUUUCUAUAUUUGUUGCCAAUAGGCAAAGAAAGCGUGGCUCCUCUUGAAAGCUACACUAUGAGAGAAGGCUUUGGUUUUCUCAUCUAUAUACACUAGCCUUUUUUUUUUUAUUAAGCAUGGCUCAUUAAGCUAAUUCGGAACAUAUAAAAGAAUAGAGUUAAUUUCUUUCUAGUUUCAUCUUUCGGAUAUCUUUGGAAUUAUUAUAAUUGUUGGAAAUUUCAUUUAGUGAAAAAUUCUACUUCAUUUACAAGUUACAACCCCUUAUAAUAUGAUACAAAAAAAAAACCCACUAGAGUUCAUUUAAUAGUAAAAAAUUUGUACAAACUUAAUAUUCAAAUCACAUUACUAUCACUAUUGAGCGUGCAGAUUAAUAGACUUGAGAUUAUUUUAGUUUAAUUAGUAUUUUUAAGUUCGAGUCAUGAAUAAAUAAUUGUAUUAAAUAUUUAGAAAAUAAAUUUUGUCACUCAUACCUAAUGUUUUUUUUUUAAAAAAACUCUUAACUACCAUUAUUAUAUAUAUAUAUUCCACAUCAAACCAAGUUACCCGUGACUCUUAACACAGCAUUGAGGAGUUCUUGGAUUUACUUAUUUAAAAGAUAUAAUUAUUUUUUAAAAUAUUUGAAAACUUUAAAAAUACAUUUCCCCAAGCCGUGAACAUAUUUCUUUUUUUUUCUAUCAACUCUAUAUGACGAGAUGCUUUUCAUUUCUUUGUUGAUUGUUGUAAAAGGGAAAUGACGAUGGGGCAUAAGAGCCCACUUUGGGCUGGACCGUACAGUGACUUGCUAUUUAGGGCGGUAUUAAUGUAAUUUGGACACUAGCAAAAUUUGUUCGCAUAAUCAUAACUCAGCACUGCUUGGACCAUAUAAAAUCUCUGCUUCACAUAAUUACGAUAAACAGGGUUCUCUGGAGCCCAGUCAGCAACUCUCAUACCAUAUAAACACUAAAACUAGGAUAAAAUUUUGUAUUUUGUGGUCGUGUUUAAAAUUUUAUAUUACAUUUUCAGUCAUGUUAUACCAUAUUAAAUUUAUAAUUGAAAAUAAAUAAAUUACUUUAAAUUUUUUGUGCAAAGCUACCAAGCAUUUGGACUAACAUGUAAUUAUUUCAUCUUAAAUAACGGUCUCAAUUCUCAAAUUAGACUAAUGAGCAUGCAAUUAUGUGUUAAAUAAAUAAAGGAAGAAUUUUAUCACUUAUAUUCAUUUUAUCCUGUUUGAAGAAACUGCAUGCAUUGGAUACUAGUGGUUUCCAUAUAUAAAAAAAUUCAGAACAAAUGUGAUAACAUUAAAUAAAAACUUCAUUACCAUCCAAUUUGUAUACAACCAGGACGAUAGUGAAAUCAUAAUCACACCCGCCCCAAAACAUUAAUGAACAACAAGGUACUGAGCUUAACUUUUUAUCAUAAAAGUAGAAAAAAAAAACUUGGUAUGUGCUUCUAUGGUGAGGUAUAUUCGUGACUCUGAUAAAUUUUUUAUUUGUGUUUCCUGUGAACCUGAAUGAAUGUCUAAACGAGAGAAAGAGUACAGAGAAGACAGAUAAUCCUCCAAUAAUAAUAUCAAGGCCGGUGAUUUUGACAGGAAACAAAAGUGAGUAACUCCAACAAAGAAAAUGAAGCAUUUGGUGGAGAAGAUGCUUCGACAAACAUUUUUCAAUCUGUGAAAUGAUACAUCUCAGCCACCAAUUAGAGGGAUAAGGGAACUACUACCACCACUAAAUCAAAAUGAGUCAAAUUUCAUCUUUUUGGUGAGAGAGAAUGAAUUUGUAAACAAUUUCGUAUGUACAAUUUUGUUUCCCCUGCAGGGGUGAAAUUUACUAGUGACCCACAUUAUUUAUUUAUUUUGGACACAAUCCUCUUUUAAUUUUCAUUUUAGUAGCUUCUUAUAAGAUAAUAAAUAGUCGGAGAUAUAAGAUUAAUCUAGCUUCUUAUAAGAUGUCAUGAUUUUAAAUCUCUUCGCUAACAAUUAAUAUUUAUCGAUAAAAAAAAUUUAGCAAAUAGUUAAAACUUUUUCACCUAAAAAAUUAAGGAAAUGGAAUAUUCUCUUUAUUCUAAGAUUAAAUAAACAAUAAGUAACAGUAAUGUUUCAUAUUAUCUAUCAAAUAAAGUUUCAAGCUUAAAUCAUGUUUUUUUAUUAAUAUUAUUUUCAUCAACAUAUUUCAAUUAGUUUUUAAUUUUUUUAUUAGUAAAAAUUGUUUGAUCGUUGGACAAACAAAUAUUUCAAUUAGCUUAAAUCAUUUUCAAAAACGUUAUUCAAAUAGGGAUUUUGAAAAUGUUAACUUCUAGAUUUUUAUUUUUUUAAUUUUUUUCAUUUUUAUCCUUAAUAUAUUUAUUAAAUUAUCUGAUUAUCUUUUUUUAAAAUAAAUCAUAUUUUUAUUACUUUAUACUUUUUAACUAUUUUAAUAGCUAGUUUUAUCACACAUUUAUAAUUUAAUAAGCUAAAUUUUUAACUUUAAAUUAUCAAUUUUCAAUUAGUUUUUUCAGUUAAUUUUAUCUAACACACCCUUAAGCUUAAAUCAUGUGUUUUUAAGAACAAGCUUAAAUCAUGUUAUUACCUUGAAAAAAAGCUUAAAUUAUGUUUAUUUGAAUGAAAGUUGGUAAUGGGCUGGAUACGGUCCAGUGAUAAUUAAAAGGGCAUGUACACCAACUUCGGUCCCCAAAUUUUUUAAUUGAAUCGUACAGCAUGAAAAAGUGCUUCUUUGUGAAGAGAAAACAAAAUCAAAUUAAAAAUUCAAGCAUAUGCUUAAAUAGCGUUUUAAAUAUCUGCUGAUGGGACUAAAAAUUUACUUGUAGGCCAAAUACGACACUAAACUUUCCGUCGCUCAAUCACUUUCUACACGCCGUCAAUGUUUUUUAAAUUACACUCGAAUUAUAUUUUUUAAUUGCAUAAGGAGGAGGCGUGCUUUUUUUUUUCCUCGCUCAUUAUAGUAGUAACUAUAUAUAAGUUUCCAAUGUUUUGGUAUAUAAUUUUUACUUUACCAGCUUAAUUCAAAACAUUCAAGUAAAGUGUAUUACUUAACAUGUCUUCUUAGAUCACAAUAAGGUCUUAUAUGCUAGUUAAAUCAUUCAUACUCCCCCUUCUACCGAUUCGAGGGUUGUUAAACCUAUCAAGAAGUUAAAUCUUUCUCCCAAAUAUCUCACAAUUGUAGGCAGAUUGUUAUUUGGAAUAAUUACUAGUUAUAGGGUGAUGUGGAUUAGAUAUGAUAAUGUUGAUUGACUCGGAUGGAAAUCCAACCCAAAGAAUAUACAAAUUUUAAUUCAUAAUCACAAAGUGUGUAAAGACUAAGAUAUGGAGAUUGAAUGGGGAUUCAACUUGGAGGAUGCACCCUAAAAAAAACUGAUAUUAGACAAUACACAUUUUCAAUUUCAGUAUAAAAAUAUAAUUACUUCAUGGUUCAAUCAAAGUAACAUUUACAAACUUUAAGUAAAUUUAGAAAAACAAAAUCUUGCAUAAAAAUGAAAAAACAAACUCACAAGAAAUAAAAUUAAAAAAACACCAACUAAAAAAAUUUAUUUAUAUUUAAGACAUUUAUCUCUAAAAAUUAAAUAAACUUAUUAGCCGUAAAAAUGAUCCUAACUUGGCUCAUUUACAAUCCUUGGUGAUAUGCAAAUAACUCUAAAAACAAGCAUAUGAAAUAGAUAAAAUUAAGUAUUAUUAUUUAAAUGUUUGUGAUACUUUAUUUAUUAAGAUUAAAAUUUCACUUGAGUAAUCUACGUUGAUCAACAGAGAUGAAAUAUUAAAAUAAUAGAUUAGUUGUAAUUUUGGGUUUACAAGUAUUGUAAAUGUGUAAUAUUUGUUGUUUUAACUCCAAUUGAGUUUCACAAGUAUUACAAAUGUGUGAUUUUAGUCUAUUAAUUUUUCAUUGUCCCAAUUGAGUAUCCUAAUUAUGUGAUUUUUAAUCCAUUUGUGGGUCAAAAUUAUUGAUGUGAUAUUGACCGAUGAUAUGGUACAUGAGGUAAUACUUGCAUGAUAAUUUAAUAUGAUGUCACGCUGACAUGAUGGUUAUUUUUAAACCCACAUUGUCAUCAACUUAUCAAAAAUGAUUCAACAUGUCUUGCCUUGUAUUUCAUAUAUGAGUUGAAAGUGAUAAUUUGUCUUAUUUUUUGUGCCCACCAAAAUUAAAAUAUUAAGAAAAAAAUAAAAAACAAAUAUAUUUUAAUUAAUUUUAUCUUUUAUAAAUAUUAAAUAAUAAAUACUUACUAAAAUAUUGAAUAUAUUAUCUUAAAUUUUGAAUAAUAAUUUAUUCUGAAAAAAAUGAACUAAUUAAAAAUUAAUAAUACAUGUAUAAGAUAUCAAAAUAAAUAUUAAAUUAUUUAUUAAAAAUAAAGAAUGAGUUGACUGAUUGAUUCAUCCUCCUUUCUCUCAACCCAUCUUUUAGUGGGCUAAAACAAGACAAAUUGAAGUGGGUUGGUUGGUUGAAAAUCCCAAUCUAAUUUACCAAAAAAAUGGGUUGGUUCGACCAGUUCAAUCCGUUUUGUCACCCCCUAUUUAUAAUUAAUUGAACUAUUUUAGUUAUUAAAGUUCAUAAUUAUGUGAUUUAGUCCUUCAAGUUCCAAUUUAAUGUGCUGACAAUUAUUUCUUAAAGUAUACUUAUAAGUAUUAAAUAUAAUAAAUAUUUAUAACCGAAUAUAUUUAAUAAGAUAUAUUCAUACAUUAAAUUAAUAAAUAUUAAAUAUAUUUUAAAUUUAUUUAUAUUAUUUAAUUUAAUUUAAAAUUAAAUAAAAUUGUUUUUAUUAAUAUAUGUAAUAAUGAUUAUAUUUAAUAUUAAAUAUAUGCAUUCAUAUGUACGUAUAUAUUAAAUAUAAUAAAUAUUUCUCAUAUUUAGUAUUUAUUAAAAAUAUUAAAUACAGUAAAUACUUAUUAUAUUUAAUAAAUGUAAUAAAUAUUUUUUGAAUUUGUUCAGUAGUAAAUAUAACAAAUAUUUAUUAUUAAAUAUAUAGACUAGUUAUGUUCUAAUUAAUAUAUUUAAUCAUAAGAGAUAUUUGUCAAUAAUAUCACAACAUCAACACAUCAAAAGUUAGAAUUUGAAAGAACUAAAAUCAUAUAAAAUUAGAAUUUGAAAGGAUUAAAAUCAUAUAAUUUUGAAAUUUUGAAAAUCUAAAAUCUGACAAUUAUGAAAUCAGGUACAUAAUUAUAAAUCAUGAGAGACCAACAUUGAUGCAAAAUAAGAGAUCACAUAAACAAGUCAAAUUAGUCAUUAUCUCAGCAUGAUGUCAUCAUUUAAAUCCUAUGUCAAGUGAUAUGUCAUCAACCAAUGUCAUGCCAAUAAAUGUUAAUUGAUGGGGAUUAAAAUCAUGUAAUUGUGAUAUUUAAAAAACUUAAUUAGCAUAAUUAAAAUAUGAGAGAUUAGAAUUACACAUCUAUGAUAUUUAUGGAAACCUAAUUAGCACAAUCUUUACACUAAAAUCAAAUAUUUACAAUACUUAUGGAGUCAAAAUUCCAAUUAAGCUUAAAGAAUAACAUCAUAAAUAUUUUAUGUAUUUUGCCUAAAGUUUUUCCUUUCAGAUUUUUACAUUAAUUAGUUGCGUGCUUGCAAAUUUUUGGAAAUACAUGCAAAUUGUAAUUAUCUCAUUCACCAAAAAGAAAACAUGUAAAUUGUAAUUAAUAAAUAAUGGUUUUCCUAACUAUUAUUGUAGUAGGUUAAUUGAUUAAAUCGGUGCAAAAUUAGAAACAAAUUAUCAAUACAGUUAUUUUGAAAUAUUUCAGCGAAGUGAAGUUAUUUUGUUUUGUCACGCCAAAAAAUCACUAAUUCAUUUGACACAUUUUUAAAGUGGCAAAUAGACUAGAGAUACCCUCCUUUAAAAAAAUACUAGAGAUACCCACAUGACAUGCCACGUGGAACACAGUUCAUUUUAUUAUAUAAAAAAAUAGGUCUACAAAAUGGAUGCCGCUAGUGCACAUGGCGAUCGAUUUCUUCAAAAUUAAAAGUGAAUAAUAUAAUAUAUGAUAAAUAUAAUUUGCACAUUAAAUAAUAUAUAUAUAUAAUAAUAAUAAUAAUAAAAUACAUAACUAUGAUCUACAUUUAUUUAUAUAUAUAAUACUAAUUAUAUAAAUGUUAUUAAUUUCAGCUAAAAAAAUGUGAGUAUUUGAACACAGUUCAUUGAUGUGAUCACCAAAUAGGAAAAAUUUCUUUCCCUUUGAAACAUCUCUUUAAACACAAGUUUGCCAAAAAUUUAUCUUUCUCGUGGCAUCUCAUAAACAAAAAACAAGCCAAAUAUCAUACAUAAAUAAAGGAGUAGUUAGAAUGGUCGUUAGUCUAAUUGUCUCCACUAUUAGAUUUUCCAUAAACCUUCAAUAUAACCUUAAUACUCACAUUUUGAAGGCUAACUAUGUUUAUUUUCAUUUUAGUUGUUUAUUUAUUUAUUUUAUAAUUAACAUAUUAUACAAUUAUUUUUUAUUUAAAUUUAUUUGUUUUUUUUUUAAUUUAUAUAUAUCUCUAUAAUAAAAUUUAUAAAUUAAAUAUAUGCUAGUUCAUGUGAACAAACUAAUAAUUGACCCCACACACACACGGCAGUUGAUGAAACAUUCUAUGAACACCUGAUUCUUGCUUAGCAACAAAACUUGUGUGCGUAGAAUUUGGAACCAUAGCCCCCGAGAAGAUGGUAAAAGAACAUAUAUAACUGCCACAUCAUUAUCUUUCACUAAAUCCAAUUGGUGAAGCCACAUUGGAUCAAUUGCAACUGUCUGGUUCUCAUUGCCUAUAAUAACCAUACAACCAAAAAUAAUUAUAGGUUGUUUUCCAUAAUUAUAUACUCACGCCGCUCUUGUUUCCUCAUUCCCAAAGAAACAAUGUCAUCUUCCUCCUAUGAACUCAUCCUCACAAAUUCUCCUGAUGGCCCUAUCACGGUCUACGAGACCACCACUGGCACCGUCGUGGCCCGAUUCUCCGGCAGUCGAUCCCCAUGUCGCGGCCUAACCGUGGUGGGUCGAAGACUAUUCGCGGCCUCGCACGUGUCCUCCGAAACGGGUGCAGGCUCGAUCAACAUUUACAACUGGUUUAAUUCUACUGCGUUCCACAACUUCCCUGUGCCUGAACCCGUUGCACCUCUCAUUGCUACCCAUGAUGGAACAUUUCUCUUUGGGGGUGGCAUCUCAGGGAGUCUUUUUUCUAUCUCAACUCAUUCUGGGGAUGUGAUCAGAUCAAUUGCUGCACACUCAAGAUCAGUUUCUAGUCUUCAUCUGAGUGAUGAUGGGUCACUUGUUAUUUCAGGGAGUGAUGAUGGCACAAUUGUUGUUGUCCCUACCUUUAAGAUUGUUAUUAUUAGGGCUUCCUUGGAUGAGGACAUGGAAGACUUGAUCUUGCACAAAUGGAAGGCACAUUCUGAUUCCGUGACUGCUUUCAAGUCUGUGAUGGGUACUUUGCUUUCUUGCUCACUAGAUUGCACAUGCAAGUUUUGGAAUCUGGGAGAUAAUGGGGUUCUCUUAAGGAUUGUGGCAUUCCCAUGUGCCAUUUUUGGGAUUGCCUUGGAUUCAAAAGGGUUAGGAUUCUAUGUUGCUGGUGCAGAUGGUUUGGUUUAUAAGGGGGCAAUGAAGGCUGGGAGUAGAAAAUUAUUAAGUAGAGUUUGUGAAUUGAGCACUUGGUCUAAGAGCCAUGGUAGGUCAAUUGUGUCAUUGGCUUUGGUGAAUGAAGGGAGGAAUUUGGUGUCUGCUGCAGAAGAUGGGAGUGUGUGGAUGUGGGAUGUUGACAAAGGAGAAGUCGUUAUGGAUAUGGGGAAUGAGGUGGUAAUGGUAAACAUUAGUGAUAUGGUUGUGGCCAGGGGAAAUGGUGAGUUUGGAGUCAGAAAAGGAAAUAAUGUUGCAAUUGAGGAAGGUAAUGGGUCAUUCACUUCUUAUGGGUUGUGUGAUGAAGAGAUGAUCAAGACUCUUGAGCAAAUCACAAAGCUUGGGGAGGUUAGGGGUGAGGUGGAACAACACAAGAAGAAGGUCAUUGGCAUGUUGGAAUCUACAAUUGAAAUGUAUGAGAGGUUUUUGAAGCUUAUCCUUAAGGAAGCUACCAAAGCCAUUGAAGAGGGGGGAGUGGAAGAUGAUAAAGAUGAAGAAUAAUAAAGAAAGUAUGGUAAAGAAAGAAAAAUAAUAUGUUUUUUUUUUAUAUUGAUAAAUGUUAGUUUUGAAAAGAUUUAAAUUUAAGAUAUCUUUUUAUCAAAUUAAUCUUAUAUUUUUUAAGAUAAAUAAUAUGAGAUGUUAUUAAUAAUGUAGUGAAGAAUUAUGAAUAUUGAUAUACAUUAAUGUAAGACUUUGGAAACGUAAUGCUGUGUGAGGUUAAUUGUAUGCAAUAUUAUUGUGUACAUAUCUUCUUUGUUUAAUAUUGUUAACGCAUAUUGAUAUACAUAUUAUCUAUACAUUGAAUUUUGCUUGUGCAUAUGGAAAUUUCAAUGUUCUAUAGUUUGUAAUAUACUAAUAAUUUUAUUUUGUUUCCAACUUUUAGUGAAUAUAUGAGUUUUGACCUGAAAAUAAUUUGACUUUGUUUGAUAAGCUAACUAAAUGAUUUGAAGUUGUACAUUGUUUGUUAAAAUUAGUAUAUUAACUAGCUUUUUUUUUUUUGAAAUCAGUAUAUUAACUAGCUGAUACAAUAGAAUCGCUAAAAAAGAUAUUUAAAUCAAAUUAAAUAAUUCUAUUUAAUAUUCUAUUAAUUAGUUAUACUAUAUUUAAUAGUUAUAUUCAUUAAAUAUAGUAUAAAUAAUGAAUACGAUAUUUAAUAAAACUAUGUUUUUAAUAAAUAUAUCAUUUAAUUCUAAGAAGCAUUAAAAAUUAUAUAUAUAAUAUUUAAUAGAUUUAAUAAAUAUAAUAUAUUUAAUAAAUAAUUUAUUCAUUAUAUAUAUAACGGAUAGAUUGUUUAAGAAAUAUAUUGUAUUUAUUAAAUCCGUUAUACUUAAAUUUAUGUGUCUUCAUAAUAAAAUUUUAAAAGAAGUUGUUCGUAAAUAAAAAGUAAUUAUCAUAAAAUUUAACUCCAUAUUAUAUACACAUACAAAAUUUAUAUAGUUAAAACUCUAUAAAUUAAUAAUAUCAGGACCGGAGAAAUUUAUUAAUUUAUCGAUAAAUUAAUUAUUAAUUUAAAGAGUUUUUAAGUAAUUAUAUUGUACAUAUCAAACAAAAUGAUAAAUUAGUGUAUGCCUCUUAGAAUUAUGUUGCAACAAACCUUCGGACUCAAGCUAAAUUAAUAACUAUUGUAUUCAUAUGCAUCGAAAAUCAAUAAUGAUUUUUGAAGUACAGUAAAUGUAAACAAGAGGAACAAAUGUGUUCAAUGCAUACUUAAGAUUUUCUUGGGACCGAAAAUUAUAAAGGGAUCUCACGAAAAAUUAUUAUCUUAUUAUUUUAUCGAGUUUUUCAAUUUUUUAUAUUGACCCAAGUCGAGACCAGACAAAUUUAUUAUUUUAGAGAGUUUAUUAAUUUACUGAGUAUUAAUUUAAAGAGUUUCUACUGUAUAAUGAAAAACUAUUUUCCCCUGUAUUUAUAUACAAAAUUUAAUUUGGUCACUUUAUAUUUAAAAUGUUUAAUUUAAUCUUUUAAUUUUUAAAAUCAAUAUAAUUUUACCCUUUUAUAUAUCAAAUCAUAUGUAAUGCCAUUAGUAUUUUUCUUUAGUGACGGUUUUAAACCAUUAGUAAAAAAAUUAUUGUUAAUUAAUGAUAUUAUUUUUUAUGACUCAUCAAGAUAAGGAUAAACUAUAAAUUAAUAAUGUCAUGAUCGGAGAAAUUUAUUAAUUUAGAGAGUUAUUAAUUUAUUGAUAAAUUAAUAAUUAUUAAUUUAAAGAGUUUUUAAAUAAUUAUACUGUACAUAUCAAACAAAAAGAAAAAUUAAUUUAUGCCUCUUAGAAUUACGUUGCAGCGAACCUUGAGACUCAACGUAAAUUAAUAACUGUUGUGUUCAUAUGCAUUGAAAAUCAAUAAUGACUUUUGAAGUAUAAUAAAUGUAAACAAGAGGAACAAAUGUGUUCAAUGUAUUCUUAAGCAAGUUUGGCAUAUAUAAAUUACAUGAAUUAUUAAUUUAUGAUUUUCUUGGGAUCGAAAAUUAUAAAGGGAUCUCACGAAAAAUUAUUACUUUAUUAUUUUAUCUAGUUUUUCAAUUUUUUAUAUUGGCCAAAGUCGGGACUGGACAAAUUUAUUAUUUUAAAGAAUUUAUUAAUUUAGUGAAUAUUAAUUUAAAGAGUUUCUACUGUAUAUCUUAAGUUCAAAGUAUCUACAAAGGUAUUAAUAAAUUAUUCCCUAAUAAGGUUCUUACUUCAAUUGACCUAUGUGAUUUAAACUCAUAUUUUUGGGACAUGAGUCUGAUUUUACUAGAUCAACCUUUCUUAAUUAUAGUUAUUUAAAUUUUAAUCAAUAAAAUUAUAAAAAAAAUAGUGGUAGUUUGUAGAACUGCUGCAAUGCUUUUUUUUUUUUACAAUUUUAAAACAUAUAUUUUUAAUAAGAUUUAGACCUAAAUUUAUAUAUUAAUAUAAUAUUGCAAUGAAUAACAAAUUAAUUUUUUAUGUAAUAAAAAUGUAUAAAAACUAUGAUAUAAAAUAAUACUAAAAAAUAUAAAUUGUAUAAUAAAAAUAAAAAUUAUAUAUAAAAGUCUCGCAGUGUUGAGUACGCAAAAUGACUUAAUUAACGAGCAUGAUAUGAUUUUAUUUUUUUAUUUUUUGUGAAGGGGAGGGACAAGAGCCCCUACGAAAAUUUAUUAAAAACCUUGGAAAAGAUAUACUAGCUACAUCAUCUAAAACAUGUAAAUAAAUAAAAUCUGGAUUAAAUAAAAAAUUUGCCGUCUCCUUCAAGAGUUAGCCUGUGAUAUAAAUAGCCUUGCUUUAAUAAAGUAUUUAAAAAUAAAAAUAUUUUAUUUUUAAUUUUAUACCAAUUUCAUGAAUCAUCCAAACCGAUUGAAAAGAGUGAGAGAGUGUCUUUGUUUUUAUUACAGGAAUGUUAGACACUUGAGCAAAUAAUAAAUGAAAUUCACCCAAAAAAAGAUUAAGAAUAAUUUUGAUAGAAUUUACUUAUGGAAGUCCGAAUAUUGAAUUUACAUGGACCUUGACUUUGUUCAUACGUGAAUUGAUGUAUAUCCCAAUUUUUAAGUAAGAGAAGAGUAAAAAAGAUAAUGAAUUGUAAAUAUAAAAUUUAAAGAAAGUAAAAAAUAAGAAGGACAAGAAAUUUAAAAUAGAAGACAAAGAGAAAUAAAAAGAUAAGAUGAUUUAAAGUAAAAGAUGAUAAAAAUAAAAAAUGUAAAAGAUAAAAUAGAUAAGAGAUUUUAAGGUAAAAGAUAAGAAAAGUAAAAGACAAGGAUGACAACAGAACAAUGAAUUCAAAAUGUAAAUAUGUUGGAGCCUAGCAUUGGAAAACUAAUUGUGAUGCAAGGUUAAUGAUAUUCAUGCUUCCAUCCACGUCUAGUAAGACACUCUAUCUAAUGAUAUCCCUGUUUUCACUCACAUCUAUUAAAGACACUUUGUCUUUAAUUUCCCGAGUUUAGUCUCUCAUUGUCAUAAGAGACUUUAUACUAUAGGGACUAAUGUGGAUAGAAGAAGAAAAAUGAUGGAUAAAGAAAAAGAAUGAGAUAAUGGACAUAGAAAUAGAAUUCCCCUAACUGAGAUACUCAGACUUAGGAUGCAUUCAUUAGAGAACUCUUAGUCUCAACAUGUGUUUCUCCCUUGCUUCCUACUCAUUUUGUUGGCCUAAGGUAGUUUAAAAUUCACGCGAUCUUGCAUUAAUAAAUGGGCCUUCCAGGCUUAAUAAAUAUAGUGGUGAUCACGUAGUUAGCAUGCCUUUGAACUUUCUUGUGGGCCUUAUUUGCGUCAAGCGUGAGUGCUAAACAGAAGACGCGCUGAACCUAUCUUGUGCACUAAGCGAGCUGUCUCAAUCUUCAACUUUUUUCUUCAAAGUUUUGUCUUGAAGUUUUUGUAUCAUUUUUCCUCCAAACACUUGAGAAUUUCUUCUUUUAAAUGCUGCUCGUCAAAAAUUACAAUAAUAUUAAUUUUUUCAUUAUUUCAUUAAAAAUAACAUUAAAGUGAAGAAAUUAUAAUCAUUCUUAGUAAAAAAUAAUUAUCAAUUUAAUUUAAAUUUUGCAGUUAUCAUAAUUCUAUUAAAGAAAAUUUUUAAAAGUACAUAAGAAAUUACAUCUACAUUUUAUCUUUUAUUUGUUCAACCAGAUUAAAUCAAAGACAAUUAUAUAUAUAAAAUUUAAUAUGCUAUAACAUAUUAGAAAAAAGUUUAUAUAAAAUCAUAAAAAUGUUGUGGUAGUCGAAAAUUUAAUUAUUAUAAAAGAUCAUAUCAUGUAGCUUACAAAAUGUAAAACAUAAAGAAUAUAAGAAGUUAAAUUACGGUGACUAAGUAAUUUAAGCUUAUUACUUUUAUAUAUGAAAUUUGAGGAUUUAUGAGGUUGAAUGGGUGGUUAAAGGAAGAAGGGGAGGAAGGGGUCAUUGUUUUGAAAUUCUUCCACUAACAUUAAUCUUUAAAAAAAACAUAUAUGAAACCUAAGAAGUAGAUAAGGCAUCUCAUGUCUACAGAUGUUUUUUUUUUAUCAGUUUGUCUUCCUUGUAUGAGUGUCAUUCAUUUCUCUUAAAAAAGAAAUUUCGAUUGAAUUAAACAAAAUGAUUUGAACUCAUUAUAUCAUUAACAAUUUUAGUAUUUAAAAUAAAAAAUGAUAUAUUAGGAUAUAUGUCAAAUAAGAGAAAUAUUUAUAUGAGAGUAAUAUAUAUAUAUAUAUAUAUAUAUAUAUAUAUAUAUAUAUAUAUAUAUAUAUAUAUAUAAAUUGAAAAUCAUUUACUGAUUACACAAUUAAAAUAUUCACAUCACUAAAUUCAUUUCUCUCAAUUUCUUAAAAUAAAUUUUCUCUUACUUGAUAUACUCCUGUAGUAUCAUAUACAAUAAUUUAUAUUUUCAUCUUUAUAUUUUUUUGUAUACACAUUUCAAAAUACUUCUCAAAUUAAAAGAGAUAACUUUAUUAUUCAAUUUUGUUAAUUGUAAAACCUUAAUUUCAUACCACUAAUUUUUAAUCAGUUUUCUCUUGUAUUUCUGUUGUCUUAACCAAGCUUUUUUUUUGGGGGUGGGGGAGUACCAAGCUGUUACUGCUGUCAUUUUCUGAUCAUUGUACUCUAGCAUUUUUCUUGAAAGUAUAUUACUAAUCUUUGAUAAGCAGUAUAUUAGUAUUUGGCUAUUUGCCAUGUUCUUUUUUAGACGCACAACUUGGUCACACGUCCAGUCAUCUUCGGCUUAUAACACCAACACCUAUUAGGCUAUUACAUUUAUUAGGCUUUUGUUGGUACAACAACACCAAAUCAGUAUUUUAUUUUAUUGGCACCCUUUUUAUGUACGCUUUAAGAAAUUUACAUGGUGUUACUUUAUAAUUUAUAAACAAAGGGUAUUAGAAUUACGUUUUCUAACAUAUUUAUAUCAUUAUUUAAUAAUUAUUAAAAAUUAAAUAUUAUGCAUAUUUUUAAAUGAUAUAUACUAUUUUGUUCCUACUUAUGAGAUGAUUUAUUAUUUUUCUAAAACUUAAUCUAUAAUAUUUUUCAUGAGAGUUUUGAUUUUUUUAAUAAAUUUAAGAUAAGCUUAUUGAUAUUCUUAACAUUGACAAAUUAAAUAAUUAGGUCUUAUAUAUAAAAACAGAUGAAGUAUAUUAUAAAUGUAUUAAUAAUAUUUUUUAUUACAAAUAAUAAUUUGACAUCAUUUAAUUUUUUGUAUUUUUUCUCUAAACAAAAAACUUGUUGUAUUUCUCUAAUUUUAUCGCAUCACAUCAUUUAUUAUAUUUUCAUCAAUUUAUCUUUCAUUUUUUUCUCUUUUUGUUAUCAAUUUAUAUUAUCGUCACCAAUAACAAUUGAAUAAGUGAUAAUAACUUAUGUCUCUUAAGAAAAUAAUUCAAUAUUCGAUCCAAUAUUUGAUGAAUCUUAUUUAACUCUUAAAUAUAAAAUAAAAUAUAUUAAAAAGAAAUCAUCUAUUUUAUAUACGUUCAAAGUGUUUGACAAAAAUUUAUCAAAAUAGUUGUCGCAUCUUCAUAGCAAUAGAAUGGUUAAGAAAAUAAUUUGCAUUGUCGUCAAAUACUCUCAAUGCAUCAUUUUCCAUUUCCACUUUUGCAAAGCGAAUUUGCUGUUUAGUGUACUGAUGCUAAACCAAAUUCAAAUGGAAUAAAAGAACACUUCCAAGACCAAUGGGUCCACUCAGAUUUCUUAUGAUAAUGUUGCCAAGGAAGUGGACUAGUGGCAAGUAACAACCCAUUUCAAGCCUCCAUUCAUAGAGGGGGUGCUUCUGGUGAGAGCUAGAACCACACAUGACACAUCACAUAUAAGAACCUCUCAGGUCUCAAUAAUAAUAUGUACAAAUUAAAAGUUCUUGCAAAUAAAAUAAGGAAAGAUAGAAAUUAAUUAAGUCAUAGUUGCUACGAAGAAAAAAGCUACACGGGUGUGUCGAGGGUCUACCAAAAGUCUUUAUUCAAGAAAAAGACAACCAAAGUUACCACUAUUAUUUCACAAUUUUUUUGUUUUCUAAUUCUUAGAAACAAGACUAUUAGACUAAUAAUAAUGAACUCAAUCCAGCACCCAGCAAGACCCUACUAAACUCCAACAUGAUACACAAAUUCAAUAGUUGAAUCGAAACAACCAGGAACCAAAUAAAUGAACCUAUUCCCAGAUUCCAACCUCCAUGAAGCCAUUUUCAGUGGCACAGCCCCUAAACAUGCCAUUGCAAUUGAACCCAUAAGCCACUUCCCCAGCAUUUGACACAGCAAUGAGACCAGCCAUCCCUUCAUCGAGACGGUGCUUGAUAACAAAAUCCACAGCUUCUUGAAGCUUCAACCCUUUGUAUUCCAUCACCGCUGCCACCUCACGCGCCAGCGUGCCACGUAUGAUGGCCUCGCCCUCGCCCGUGCACGAUACACCGCACACGUCGCACGCGUAGGUCCCAGCGCCUAUCAGCGGCGAGUCACCGAUGCGACCGGUCAUUUUGUUCAUCAGCCCCCCUGUGGAUGUCGCUGCCGCGCACCGGCCCUCCCGGUCGACCACCACGCAUCCAACGGUUUCGGGCGCGUACACGCUUAUUGGGAGUCCAUUCAUUUGCAGUGGACUCUCCACAUUGGAUCCGCACGUCUCGUACCCCGAUGUUGGGAUUCGGUAAUCAAACUGCAUCAUCAUCAUCAUCAAACAAACGUGGCACAUUAGUUAACGUUAUUGCUGAGUAAUUAAUCCAGUUUCACAAAAGAUCUGUAAUUACGUACCAGGAUUGUGUUUGCUUCCUUGGCCAGCUUGAGCAUGCCAACAUUAUCAGGUGUGAUAAAGUACUCGUUGUCCACAACCUCCACACCCUGGAAAACAAUCCAACCGCUAUAAUUUACUACUUGCUAGGGAUUAAAAUGCUACUAUUAAAUUCAUAGAUUUGCACACGUUCACGAAUAAUGCCAUUACUUUUAAUUGUUUAAUACCAUUGUCAUUAAGAUAUCCAUAUUUCCAAGUUCCAACCAUUGUAGCAUUCGCCUCGUUGGCGAAUGAGAAGAAAGGCAAAAUCAAAGUUUGUUUUGGUUUACGCCAUUUAGAAGAAAGUAAAAAACCAGGUUGGAAUUAGAAUCACAAUUGUAAACCUGUUGCCUAGCAAAUUCUUCGGCUCCGGAGAAGGCGAGAUAGGAAUGUGGGGAUUUGUCCAUAACCAAACGAGCGAGCGAGAUCGGGUUCUUAACGGUGGUAAGACCCGAAACGGCGCCGCAUCGUCGUUUUGGACCAUCCAUGAUGCUAGCCUCCAUCUCCACCGUUCCUUUUUCUGUCAGGGCAGAUCCACGGCCCGAAUUGAACAGCGGAUCCGUUUCCAAUUCCCUCACCUGUCACAAACACUUGUCAAAUCUAAGAAAAUUAUUAAUAAACAAAACCCCCAUCUCCUGGGAACGAUUAAAUUAUUAUUCUUAUUAUCAACGAAAGAAACACGGAUGAUUCACGAAACACAUUCACACGAAACGAGCCAUGCAUGGUAACGGGUAGUAGUAUUGUCUUUUUUGUUUAUUUUUAGUUUUGGAGAUAAAAUUAAAAUGCGUGAAGGUUACGAUGAGAUUACCACAAGUUCAACGACAUCUAUGGCGGGAAGAUUAGAAUUUAGAGCAGAGAUUCCAAGAUUGAGACAGUGCGUGAGAAGUUGUUUCGCUUCUUCUUGACGCUCGAGUGGAAGAUUAGGGUCCACACCAGCGCCACCAUGCACCGCGAUAGCCCAACCUCCCAUUUCUCUCUCUCUCUCUGCCCUACCCUGAGUUUUUGUGUGUUUUAUGGAUUCUUGAAACUGCGAUGAGAGAGAGGUGGUCGAAUGUGGUUUUUAUAGGCAACCUCGGACUUGAAAUUUUAUGUGUUGGAAUUGAAUUUGCUUUUGAGGUCUCGCCGCCGGAUCUUAAGAGGGUGUCUUUCGUUUCUUGCGAUUCUCCGUAACUACAGGGAAAAAUAAUUUAUUAGUUGCUUGAAUUAUUUGUUUUCUGUUUAUAUUUGAAAGAUUCACCUCUGAAGGAAUCGUGCAUUGUUUAAUUAUUUCUUUAUUUAUUUUUCAAGUAAAAGAAUCGCCGUUUCUAAGCAGAGACAUCAGUGGCACAAUGAGUCAAACUCCAAAUUGCACGAUCAUCAUUCUAACAUUUACGUGAUGUGAUCUCGUGCUUUGCGAUGGUCUGAAUUAAAACAUUUAUUUAGUCCCUCGACAUGAUCAAUUAAUUUCUUUAAUUGGUCCUACCAUAGUAGUACCGCGGUUUAAUAAUUAAAUCAAUUUUCUAAAAACAAAUGUUGCUAGAGCCAAAAUGUAUAAUUCGAACUUUUCCUCUUUUUUUAUUUAUUUUUUAUUUUACCUUUCUUAUAAAAUUCAAUUGAAGAAGAAUCUAGCAAGUAGUAUCAUAUCAUACAGUAUAUUCAUAUUUUAAGCAAGGAAUCUCGGUAAUGAAAUUGAGGUUUGCAUUCCCUAAGCUAAACGGAUGUAUUUUAAACCAAAAAUAACAACCAUAAUUACAAUUUUAACAUUAUACACCUUGUGUUAAGUACAAUUCAUAUUAUAUAAUAAAUUUAUUAAUUUUUUAAAUAAUUAUCUUAAAGUAAUUCAAGCGAUAAUUUAAGAUUAGAUUAUAAUAUAAAAUUAUUGUUUACACCGUCGAUGCAUAAACAUUAAACAAUAACGUAUUAAAAGAAACAAAUUAUAAUAAUUUUACAAAAUUAAUUUUAUCAUUAAUAUUUUUUUACUUAUCAUUAAUAUUAUAUAUAAGUAAUAUAAGUAAAAUAAAUAAUUAAUAUUACAUUAAAAAAAUUAUAAUUAUUUUGAACUUAUUUUUUCUUGUUAUACCACGAUAAUUAAGGAUGAAUAGAUAUUGUAUCAACUUGAGCGUUAUCCAUGGAUCUUCAACACUUUCCUUCUUUUUUUUCUUUUAACAAUUAUACAUAAAAAUCUGCGGUUUACUAGAUCCACCGUUCCUUGCAUUUGUUAGCAUAGAUUUACUCUAUCUAUUAUUGGUAAAUCUAAUACAUCAUAUUAUUUUAAGUUCAACAAUAGCAAAUAAAAUCAGUUAAAAAAAAUAUGAUUUUCAUCAAAUCGCCAAAAUUGGUCCAUCUGUUGAUUUUUAGUAAUUUUGCUUGUUCUUGACCCGUUCAAAUGCACACCUGUUAAUUUUGAGGUUUAAACUAACUGGAUAGGCAUCGAUUCCUGAUUGAACCGGCUGGUUCGAUUUGAUUCUGACAACCAUGUAUUAGUGGGUUAUAUUUUUUUCAAUAUCACAUCAUUUUAGAACUAACUUUAAUUAAAUAUAUUUUUAUAAAAAAUAAUUAAUGUAGUAAAUAUUUUAGAUUAUACCUUAAUAAAAAAAUCUACUACAUUUAAAAUUAGAUUAGACAAUUUAAAGAAUGAGACUCUUACCUAAUAAUGAGACUCUUACUCUCCUCAUAUUAACAUUAGAUUAGACAAUUUAAAUGACGAUAUAUGUUAGCACAUUUUAUGUUUUUAGUCAUGUUAAUAUAUAUUGAGAUCAGAAAUUAAAACCUCAUAAAUGAUCCAAACCCUUCCACUUGACCUGCUCAAUGAUUUAGUCAUGUUUAAUUAAAUUUUACCGUGGUACACUAGUAUACAAACAAUAGGUUUGCUUUGCCGACCAUAUUGAUAUUAGUAAAAUAAGUUCUUGGAAUCGACAGUCACACUUUGAAUUAAUCCCCAGAUUCAUGAAUCUGUGGAACUGUAUUGUUAAUUCUGUUUCCAUGGUCGAGGGAAGAACAGUGAGAAAGUGGGCCAGACCAAAGAAAGAGAAGAGAAGUUGGAGUCUCUCUUAUGACCAAAUUAAAAUGGUCAAGCUGGCCCCAUUUUGUGGUAGCUCCGUAGACCAAAGGGGCUGGCGGCGAGCAAUUUGCAAAUUUUCAAUUAAUGGAUACACUCAUACACUACUUUCACCAUCAAUUAGUUUAUGUGUAUUAAUAUAGGGAUAUACAAGCAUCAUAUAAUAUAAUUAAUAGAUAAUUUUAUUCAGUAUGUGAUUUUGUAAGUAUGAAAAAUAUAUGUAGAAAGAUAUCAAUUUUUUAAAUAGAUAUUAAUAUCUUAAAAGAUUAAUUUUUAAUUUUCGACCGAAUAAUACCUUAAACAAUAGAGGUAUUAUUAAUUUAUUUAUAAUUAAUCCCCUCUUAUUUUCUGCACAUUUACAAUUUAAUUCGACACUUGUAUAAUAAGUGUGUCGCAAAUAUUUUUCCAUAUUCCAUAUUCCAUAAGAUAAUUAAAGAGGUAGUAGGGACUGAGACCGGCUGGGUUGGUGAUUAAUCACCAAGAAAGCUCGCAGCUAAUGCUAACAGAUGGGAUUAGACUAAUCAAAAUCUUUAUUUAGGAGUUGAUUAAUUAUGCUAAUGAUGAAAAAAAAAAUAAAGAUUGUAAUUGGACCAAUGAACCUCCAAAGCUUUUAGAUAAGAUAUAUGCAUACAUGGACCCAACGGCUACCAAACUAGUUAAGACCAAACCAAAUGGAAAAAGGGAAACCAGGAUGGCUAUAUUUGCAAACGGUUUUGCUAAAGAAUCAACAAAUAAAACGUUUUUAAUUCUUUAAUUAGUAUUCUAAGAAUAAUAAUAAAUAAAACCCAUUCAGAUAUUUUUGAAUAAAUUUUUCAAUAAACACCUAUAAUAGAAUAAAACAAUUAAGAUGAUAAAAUAAACUAAACUCCUCUAACAAGUUAAAAACAAUUUUUGGAGAAAUUUAAUAAAGAAACUCGUAAGUUAAUUUUAAUUUACGGAAAAACUUAAUUUAUUUUUAUUUUCCCCCUUACAAGCACUUAUUUAGAUAUUUAUCUAAAGAUAGUCUUACUAGUUUAUAAGACUGUCAGUUAUGUUUAAUGGUUAUUAAGAAGAUCACAUGAGCAUCCAAAAAGAAAAAUAACAAAAAAUGAAAUAAAAGGAAAGGAACAGCUAGAUAGUAUACACCCACUUCCUAGCUUUUGGGAACGUAAGCCGAAUAGCCAAUAAGCCAGGAGCUCAGGACCAUGACACGUCAGUAACAACUAGUAUUUUCUAUUUUGCUUUGUUGUGAUCUCAAGUAGUGUCUCAUUAUACAACUUCUUACAGUUUAUCUGGUGUUUCUGCUGGUCUUGUUGCUGGAGCAAGCAUUUUGAAAAUGUCCCAUCCUAAGUAUAUAUCACCAGCAAUCAAAUAUAUAUAUUCCUCUAAAAAUCUAUAUAUUUUAGCAAGAGGGGCUUGAGACCCAAAAGAAAUAACCUUUAUUUAGAAUCCACUAGGGAAGCUUGUCGAUAUUACAUUAGCUAAAACACAAACAGAUAGAAAGUCAGGAACCCACUCGAAAAUUCUGCUACCCAUCAGCGUUAAGCCAUGCUUUGAAAGCACAUCGGCCAUUUGAUUGGCUUUCCCAUAAAUAUGCCUACAACCUAAGAUAACACAUUCGGAAGAUACAUCAUGAAUGGCUUUCACCAGUUGGUAGUAACAAUUAUGGGAACAUGGACACCCAUUCUUUAACAAAUUAACAACCAUUAGGAACUCAGAAUCUACCAAAAAAUUAUUGAAACCUCAAGCAACAAUUAACUUUGCCACUAAAACCACAAUCCAUAAUUCAGCCUGUAAAACUAAACAAGACCCCAGAUUGCAGACUGGCUAGAGAAAACCAUAUUAUUUCUAUUUUGACAUAACAUCGAGACUACCACUCCAAAAAUUGUACUCCACGCUGCAUUAUUUAUCUCCUUCUGGUUGGCAAAGUUGAACAAUAGCCAUUCUUUUAAGCUCAUCAGAAAAAAGUCCUCAUUCAACCAAUUAUCUGAUAUUUUACUCCAAACAUCCUUAGCAAUCACACAAUCCCUCAAGCAAUGAAGGAUAGAUUCAGAUUCCACAUUACACAUCGGACAUAAAGCAGAAUUAGAUAUAACCCUUCCGUGUCUAUUGUUGUUCAUGAGUAGCACCCCGAGCAACUUUCCACAGGUGAAGCCUAACCCUUUGGGGUCCCUUCCGUCACCAAAUUGCCUUGAAUAGAGGAUCCUGAUUAUUUUCAUGGCCAAUAAUGUAACAUCUUGGACGAAUCAAGAUGUAUCUAUGUUUUAGUAAUCGGUAUUACUUAUACAAACAAGAUGUAUCUAUGUUUUAGUAACCCAUCACUUAAGAAUUACACAGUUAAACGUGCUUAAGUUAGAGUAAUUAUGUGAUGAGUGAUCUUCUAGAAAGUUUUUCAAAAAACAUGUAAGUGAGGACAAAACAUACUAAAACUUUUAUUCUUAGUUUGUGGGGGCAAAACUGAUAUUCGAGAUCUUAGAAAAGACUACUUAUGAAGGGUUCUGACAAACAAAAAUGUUAAGUAAAGUGUUACUGUGUGAAGUGUCAUAAUGUGAGAGUCGUCGAUAAGUUGAAAAUCAAAAAUGCUACAAAUGGUAUCAGAGAAAAUCUCUUUUCCAGUAUUGUGUGAUUUGAGGACGAAUUAGGCGAAAGGUAGUGUGCAUCUAACACCCCGAACAAAUCACACCGAAAAAAAAAAGAAUUCAAAGACUAUACAGGUAUGAGACUAUACAAUUAAGAAUGAAUUAAAGGAAUAACUUGGUAUUACCUAUACAAACAAGAUACAUAUACUUUUCAGUAGUCCAUCAUUUAAGAACUCUACAGUUAAGCGUAUUUGACUUAGAGUAAUUAUGGGAUGGAUGAUCUUUUAGGAAGUUUUCAGAAAGCAUGUGAGUGAAGACAAAACACACUGAAAAAUCUAUGCUAGGUUGUGGGAUCAGUCAUUGAUCCUAUAAGCAAGCAAAACUAAUUUUUGAGGUUUCAGAAAGAGUUACCUACAGAGGAUUCUGAUUGAUAGAGGAUUCUGAUUGAUAGAGAAUUCUGAUCAAUAAAAAUGUUGAGUGAAGUGUCACUACAUAAAGUGUUAUAAUGUGAGAACCGUUGAGAAGUUAAAAAACAAAUAUGUUACAAUAACCAAGGAAUAAGUUGUCUUUGGCGAGAAAUCUCUUCUUGGCUUAGGAUUCCAAGCGGGAACAUCAUUUUCAUUUGCUGGUCUAGGAGGAACAAUAUCCCAAAUGGAAUUACAAACACUUAAUAGGAGCACCACUUGUAGCUUAUAUCUAUCCUCAACCCACCUUGUUCCUUAGGCCUACACAAAUUCUCCCAAGAAAUCGUGUGAAUUUUACGGGCUUCAUUAGUAUCGCUCCAUAUAAAAGACCUUCACUUCUUGUUGAUGGAGUCACACAGCUCAGCUGGCAGGGAAGUUGUGUGUAUCACAUAAGUUGGCAACAUUUGAAUCACCGACAAGACCAAGGAGACCCUUCCAGCCAUAGACAGAAGAUUAGAUAUCCAACUGCUAAGUCUUUUAUCAACCUUUUCAAUCACAUAAUUGAAGGUUUGGGAACUGACAGUUUAGUGAAAGAUGGGCACAUCAAGGUAUUUUCCCAAGUUGUCAGUGCAUUGAAAGCCAAAGUCUGCUGAAAUCUUCUCCUUAAUCUGUCAAUUUACAUUUUUGAAAAAGAAGAUUCUCAUUUUUUCCUCAUUCACUUUUGCUCCUGAACUCUCACAAAAGUUCCUUAUGGCAAAGUUUAUAACAUCCACCUGGUCAACAGAUGCCUUUGCAAACAAAAUGAGGUUGUAUGUGAAGGCAAGGUGUGAAAAGGUCAGGUCACCUCUAGAGAUCUGAAUAGGCUUCCACAGCUUUUUCCCCACAGCUAGAUUAACCAUAUGGAUAAAUCUCUCUAGGCAUAAAACAAAAAGGUAAGGCCAGACAAAAUCACCUUGUCUUACCCUCGUUUAGGCUGAAACUCCUCCAACGCUUAUUCAUGUGGGUACAUAUAUAUAAUGGUUAAUUUUAUAUUGGCUCUCGAGUGUUAAACACAACCUCCUCUUUAAUCCGAAUUUGCAUUGAGACUAAUUAUGAAAAAUAUAGGUGGAGUUAGACUAUAGUUUUUUUUUUUUUACUGAAUUAGAUUAUAGUUAUAUAGUUAUAUAUUGACUUGUUAUAUUUUUGUCUCUAAUUUAGUGAGCAGGUAAUUUUGGUCCCCAGUGCUGUAAUUGCUUGAUUUUGAUUCACACAUUUGAAAAAUGGACAAUUUUAUUCCCUCUUAAUUUUCCAUUCAAUUUUUAAUGAUUUUGACGAGGGAACAAUCCAAUUAGUUAAAUUGUUUCAAGUUGGACAGUUCUUCUUCUUCUUCUUUUUUUACAGUACGUAGUGGCUUUUCCUGAUUUUACUUUAUCUUUUUAACAUAUUUCAUAUAAUUAAUUUAAUAUUAAAUUAUUUAAUAUUUAUAUUAAUUGAUUGAACUUGUAAAAAUUAAUUAUUAAUGUCACAUAGAUGCUUAUGUGAUACAAAUUAGCUUACUGGAUUUAUCAUCUCAUCACAUUGUUAAAAAAUGGAUUGUAAGUUAAUGAGAAGACUAAAAUUGUCCAUUUUUCAAAUGUAUGGAUCAAAAUUGAGCAAUCAAAAUAAUGGGAACUAAAAUUGCUCACACACAAAACUAGAGGAACAAAAAUUGCCUUCACAUUAGGCAGUCUCAACCUCCUCAGACUUCUCAGCUUUUGUUAGCAGAUGCCAUGGGCAUCCAGUUUUCUCGGCCUUAUGCCGUUUGCUUCUUUCUGUUUGUUUUUCAUUUCUUUCCUCAUAAAAAAAAUACAAGAGAAACUAAAAUUGCAAUUAUGCCUUAAAAAUAAAUAACAUAGUGAUUUUUUUUGUCUCCAAGGUCAUUCAGCUUGUUUAAAAUGAUUCAAUUUUAGAAUUGAAACAAUUCAUUGAUAUGCAAUGUUUUCUAAAUGUGAUAAAAAAAAAAAGACAAACAUGAUAUACAAAGUAAUGUAAUUCCAAACAAAUUUUGCAACAUAAUCCAUUUAAUUACUAAUAUGAUAAAAAAAAACUGUAGGUUAUAAACAUAUGUAAAGAAUUAAAAUGAAACUCUAACACAUUCUGUGAUUUCAUCAAAUUUCUCUCAAUGCUCCUCAUGUUUUUACUCUUAUACUAACUCGUUAAUUACUUUAAAGUUAUUAUGCUGGCACCUAACAUCUUUAAUUCUUUUGAAAAACAUUACACCUUAUACCCUUAAGGGAGAUUGUAAUAAAAAUUAAUGAAAAAGCUACGUUCUCCUUCAAUCUAUUGUGAGUUGCUGAUCAUUCAUCUGGUUUGGCUAAUAUCAGCAAAUUUAAGAUUUGUUUCGUUGCCCGCCCUAACUAUACUGAAUUUUGGCAGGUUUCAGGGAGAACUUUUGGUAGCACCCUUCCAUAAGAAGAAUCAGGCCGGCUUAAAAAUAUAAACACAAAGCUUGAGGUUGAAAAUAUGGUGCAUUUAUUUCUCAUUUGGAAAGGAAGGUACAUUUUGAUUUUAAAGAAAUAUACGAUCGAUAUGCAAAAAGGAAUGUAAUAAAAAUAGCAAAUAUUUCAAAUGAAUGAAAAGUACCAAUUGAUUAAAUCGCCUUCACCACUUGGUAUAUAUGUAGUGUAGCUCAGCAAAAUCUAUCACUUCAAUUCCCUGCUCUGGCCAGUGCAUGAGCAGUUGAGCACAACAAAUAUUGUAGCAAAAAACUGAAUGGAAUUGCUUUCCAAAGCUAUGUAGCAUUGUCAAGCACAAAAACACGUACGUAGUGGAGUGCUACAUCAAAACCCAUUAGAUUUCAAACAAAGAUACCUGCAAAGGUGCAUGGUUACAACUCACAAGCCGGCCAGAUACGUAGCUAUUUAUCAGAUAAGCACAUUGACCUUCGUUAAGUACUUGCAUUAUGUACAUAUAUAUCAGAUAUGUAAAGUAAUUAUUUAAUUAUUAAAUAGUAAGUAACUCCCUAAGAAAAGGCAUCUAAUUAUAUAGAAUGAAUACGAAAUAAAAUUCAAAACUCUUUAGUGCAUCGAACAAGAAACAAAAAAAAAAAAAAAGUGCAGUAAAAUGUAGCUCCCCCCUUCGCUUUCAAGCAUGGAAAAAUAACCUAAGAAAGUAAGAAUGCACUUCCCUAAAGCCGGUUACGAAAGUGAGAAAAGUGUUAUGUAUAGUAAUGGUACCAUCAUUAGACCAAAAAGUCUAAUCAAAGCGAGAGAAAUUGUAUUUCUGCAUAAAUUAUAUACAAUAAUACAAUAAUUCAUACGAAAAGGAAUAAGGUAGGACAAAUAGAGAGACCGCGUGAUAAAAUAAUAUUAAUUGAUGUAAUUGAGAUAAAAAAUAAUGUAGAAAAUAUUGUAUGAAUAAUUCAUCCAAUAAAUUAUGCAAAUAAGGUCUUAGGAUUUAACUACAAAUUCAAAUUAUUAAAACCACUUAAUGAACUAGAUUUCAUGUGACAAUACAAACACUUAUCAUAAUUUUCUUAACUAUCAUCCUUUACUAAUUGAUAAACUUGUCUGUAAAUAUUUAUAGGAUAAGAAAAUAAAAUAAAUUGAGUUUUUUAUAAUAAAUUAAAAUCAACUUAUGAAUUUUUGAAAAAUGAAACGAGAAAACUUCUAAGUUAAGAGCGUAAAUUGAUUUUUAAUCACGAGAGAAAUUCAAUUCAUUUUGUUCAUGUUAUCAUCUUUCUUAAAGUUUUUUUUUUUGCAUAAAUUUAUCCAAAACAGAAACUAAGUAAUAAUAAAAGGGACAUCAAAUUCAAAACCAUUUGAACUAAAUGUUCACCAGAAAAAUCACCACAAUAAAUAUAAUUAUCUAAAAUUAAAGGUGUGGGAGCAGUACAAUAUUUUGAGGGAGAGAAAAAGAAGUGAUGAAAAGGAUGUGCAGGUUUUGAAGAACAAAGAUUGGUGCAGUAUAUAUACUUCCAUAUUAGAAGCUGCUAGCUGGGGCAAUGCAAGGGCCACAACGUACACGAGUGAACUGUGUUUGUGUGAAAAUUGAGCUUCAUUUUGAGGCCAAUGUAGAGUGCUAUAAUAAGAGUCAAGAGGGACUAAGAAAGCAACGGCAUGCAUGUGGAUUUGGCAGAUGUCGCAUCGACUACAGGCACUUGGUCACACAAGCACCUACAAAACUCGGAUAGCUAAGAAUCUUGCAAGAUUCUUGACCUAGCUUUCUCACCCACCACUCCAAAACAACAUUUGUUUUCAUGCGUCACCAAAUGAUUCUCGUCACGUGUUCUGUGUCUUUCGCUCUGUCUCUGUUUCUUGUCCACACCUACCCUCUUGUGUCCCCGGCCCCUUUUUCUGUAUCAAUUUUUUUUAUUUAAUUAUUAUUUGCUGUUCCUGAAUUUACCUAAGAAAAUAUGAAAUCAUCUCCAAACAUACAUUUUAAAAUAUAUUGUUGCCUUUUUUUUCUUUGGGUGUCUAGUAUCUUCUUUGACCCGAGAAUCAAAAGAUUAAUUUAUCAAAGGUAUGAAAACUUAUUUAAGAAAUUAAUCUUUUACCACAUCAAAUAUUUUUUCAUACAUAAAAACAUGAGAAUCAAAUUCCUUAUCACAUGUUUAAGUGCAUGGAUAUUUGUCAAUUAUAUUGCAUUAUGUUAUUUAUUUUUAUAUAUAACCAAAGGUACCCAAAACUUUUGUUUAACUAACUUUUUAUCUACUAAAUCAGUUCAUUUUAAGAUAAAAGGGUACCUCUAGUGACUAUUUCAUUUUCUGAGUUAUGAUCAUUUCCAAUUCUUAAUUAAGGAACACAAGUGUUCAGCUACUACCAAUAACUUUUGGUUUAGUUACUUAUUUUUAAAUUGCUAAUCAAAUGUCCCCAUUAUUAUUAAAAUAGCUUGUAUUUAGUUUCUUUUGUUCUUAAAUUGACUUUUAUUUUUUUGUUAAUGACAAGAAUCUAAAUACAAACAUAUCCUGCAAGAGGAAAAAACACCCAUUAAAAUGCAAAAAAAAAAAAGAAAAAGUUGGAAGGACAAAUUAACUGCUGCUUAUGAUAUCGAUCGAGCCUUUUAUAACUUAUCAAGAAAUCAGAGAUCUAGCAUUCGAUUUGACCAACUUGAUUCAUGUCUGGCCUUAUUAAGCCGUACUCAUCAAUCACGCCAACCCGUGACUUGUUCCAAAAUAGUAGAUGAAUCUUGUUACGAAUCUACGUACUGCGGCAAGAAAAAAAAUUAAAUAUUGAAAAACUAGCAUGGCUAUUGAUUAGGAAAGAGAAUCAAAUCAGGGUCUCAUACGCAUGUGGAAGAAACAACUUGUUGGACCAAGAAAAAGUAGAGAACGGUACUACCAUACCAUGUGUUAAUGUUAUGCUACCUAGGAAUCCUAGGGGAUUCCGAUUCCACGAUCCCUCGUGAUAGGUUCGGCACACGUUGAAAAUGAUAUAAUACUAGAUUAAAAGUAGGUCCAAAUGCUAGCUAGGAUGUUUUUAGGACGGAUUCAAUCAAGUUUAUUGGUAUUUUAUGUGAUUUAAAAUUUUAAUAGAGUUCUUUAUUUGAAUUUGAAUUUGGAUAUGGAUAUGAUGUUAUUAAAAUCUGAUAAUGUAUUGAAUAAAUUUUUUAUCAAUUCGAUAAUAUAUCAAUCUUAAUGUUACAUGUAGUUAUAUCAUGAAAUUAAAGAAUCAUACAGCCACAAUAAGUAGUAUAUAUUUUACAAUAUAUCCUAGGUAAUAACUUCUGCUUUUUAAGUUUAUAGUUUUCUUAGAAAAAAAGUGUUUAUAGUUUAUAAAUUUUCAUGGUAUCGUGUUAUUUAAUCUAUUUUUCAUUUUAUACAAAAAUAUAUGUUAGUAAAUAUGUAUAUAAAUUUUUAAAAAAUAUAUACAAAUAACUACAAAUAUUGAUAUAUAUUGAAAUAAUUUUAUAUUCAUACAUUUUUAUAUAAUUUUUAUUAUAUAUAAGUAUUUGUUUUUAAAAAAUAUUAUCUUUUGAAUAUAAUAAAAUACGACCCAGUAGUUAUCCUUAUCAGUCAUUCCAAAGCACCAGCGUGCACCAUCAAAUGUUUCCCAGUCGUUGGAUGGCUUUAAAUACGUGUCCAAGAAUAAGGCAAUUAUACAGUAUUUGGUUCCUAAUCAAAUGGUGGAAAACGAUUCACAAACAUUGGUAUUUGGUAGUUUAGUAUUAUUAUUAUUAUUAAUUUAUCUAGGAGGGAUGGGCUUCAGCGUUUAGCUAGCCCAAGCCCAACCGAGUAUUGUUCCUGGCCUUUGGAAUUGUUUUAUUUGAGGUUGCCAUCAGGCAGGAAUAUCUUUGUGAAACCAUCUUUUUACUUGUACACCCAACACAUUUUCACUUUUUCCAAAAUUACCCCUUCUAAUAAACGGAUUCGUAACCCAUAUGUACGGAUUAUAAUUAUUUUUUUAAAAAUAUUUUACAAAUUAAUUUAAAAUUAAUGACCCAUGCAAGAUUCAAAUCUGUGAUUUUCAGGUUAUUAACAUGACAUUUUAACCAACUAAACUAAAAGACCAAUUAUGUUAUAAAAUAAUCAAUGUCAUUGCAUAUAACACUAAAGUUUCUAAUUUAUAUUUAAUGCAUAUGCAAAUUUACAUAAUAAAUUUUGUAACAAUUAAUUUUGAUCUAACAAUUCAUUUGUUUACAUAUAUAAAUUUUUAUGAAACAUAGCUUUAUGUAAACAAAUUAGUUAUUAGAUCAAAAUUAAUUAUCACAAAAUUUGUUAUGUAAAUUUACAUGUACAUUAAAUAUACAUUAGAAGUUUUAGUGUUAUAUAGCAUCACUAAUUAUUUUAUAAUAUAAUUAACCUAUUAGCUCAAUUAGUUAGAGUAUUGUACUUGCCAAUCUAUAUACAGAUUACAAGUAGGCCUCUUACAGAUUAUGAUUCUGUUUAUUAGUAGGGAUAAUUUUAAAAAAAAUGAAAAAAUGUUAGAUGCAUCAGAAAAACGCUGGGUAAAAAAAAUGCUCUAAACGUGAACGGGCAACUAAGAACAUAGAUUGUGUAAAAUAAACGAAGGAAUCGUGGAGUAGGGUCCAAAUGAAGGAAACUUACCUCAGAUCCCAAGGAUUUAUUGUGAGAUGGAUUUAAUACGUGAAAGAAGACCAGAGAAAACCAAUACAAUGUUAGUAGAAAAGAAAAGUCAGACCUAUUAUUCUACAAUAUAAUAAAGAGAAAAAGUUCCCACAUUAGAUAUGGUAAGGUAAGAUUAUUAAAAUACCGACUAUAUGUUUUUUGUAAUAGCUUAAUAGGUCUAGAAAAAAAAUAGGACCUUAGAGAUAUCAUUUUUUUCUUUGUGCAUGUUUAUAGUCAUGAUUUUAAAUCCAUAUUUCCAGUUCACGCAUUUAUAUGUUUUUUUUAUCACAUGGCGCAUUUAUAUGUGAAGUACCGAAGUUCUUAUUGCAAGGGUUAAAUUAAUCAAAAGGUCCUUAAAUUAUUAAGAAAUUUUUAGAUAGGACCCUAAGCAAAUAAAAUUAUUAUUGAAUCUUUGAUAUUGUAAAAAUUUUGUAAUUACAUCUCUAUAGUUAAUUUUAUGGUGGCUUCAAACCGUCAAAAAAUAACUUGUGACACUUUUAAAAAUUCGCUGGAUUCACUUUUAAAAAAAACUACAAGAUCAAUGAUUCAAUUAUAACUCUCUUUUAGUUAAUUUGAACUAGUUUUUGUAUAACUUGAAAGGAUUCAUGCUCAAUGUGGUUCGACUUUCAAAAACACAAUAAUCAAUUGCACUUCACAAAAUCAAGAAAUUAUUAAAUGAAAUCCCUGUUAAUUUUUGCAUGACAUAUAAACAUCAGUCAUAAUUAUUUGUUGUAAAUUGGAAAAAUCAAAUAUAUAUAUAUAUAUAUAUAUAUAUAUAUAUAUAGAUUGAUUUGGACCAUAAAAAUGUAACGAUCCAAGACUACCUACCAAUUUUUCCAUAACAUCACAAUAAUAUAUACCAUUAAAAAAUGUUCAUAAUUUUGUCACCACCAUCAAGAAAACAAUAAAUUAUUCUCACCAAACAACUAAUUCAAACACACUAUUAUAAAUAUUUCAAUAGAACCGGAGAAUCAUCAGCCAACAAAUGUUCGUCUACAUAACUCAAUUUAUUUUAGCAUGAAUCUGGGUGGUGUUAAACAGGUUUUUGUUGUCAUCCUCGUGUGGAUAAUGAUAAGCGAGGACUGCAUAACAAGUCUGAACAACAGUGAGAAGAGUUAUCAACGCUGCAGCGAAGUUGUAACCGCGCCUCAAAAACUUUUGAAGGCCGUAAAUCCAUUCUGUUAUUCGGCUCAAAUCAUGACACGCAAUUAUGGGAAACCUCGUGACAAAAUUUGUUGCCGAAAAUGUGUUCAAGGCAUCAAUGAUGUUGCUGUAACCCGAACCAACGUGGCCCCGGUCAAUUCCAUUAGCGACGGAACCAAAGAAAUCCACCACCUCGUGAUUACUCAUACCCAACUCAUCUUUGAUGAUUCCCUUGUUCUUAAGAAUUUGAACAUCGCUGGCGCAACAUAUCAAAUCAUUGAAGAGCAAGGCCAGAAAAGUGAACACGUUUGCAUACUCUAUACCAUCCUGUUCAGUGCUGUUUCCAAACUCUUCAUUUUUGGACUUGUUUCUAUGAUGCUCCCACGCAAUGAAACUCCUCCACUUUGGUUCCGUUGUUUGAGUGAUACGAAGGUGCGGAAUUAGCAGCACCCCGUUGUUGUAGCUGAAUUGAACACUAAAAUCAUGAAUUCUAAACAUUAUUGAAUUGUCAGAACCAGGGUGAAGUCUGAUCGUAACACCAGCAGCUAUGAGCCUAGCAGCACAGCGAUUCAGUUUUACUUGUUUGAUAAUAACACUAUAAUCAUCAACAUCUACAACAACAGAAGAAGCAUCUCGGAUUGGAAUAUCAUGCAUCCAUAGAAAAGUGGAAUGAACAAGUUCAACAACAUGAGCAGGGUAAAUUCGCUUGGGCAAUUGUUGUUGCCAAAGGAGCAAAACCAUAAUUUCUAUACUGCUGCUGAGAUUGCUACCGGGGAAAAGAAUUUGAAACAACUUAUCCAGAAUGAAAAAGGGUAUUUGAUUUUCUAACAGCGUGAGGUCAGUCAAUACUGCUUCCAUUUCCCCGACUUUAGUCCCUAGAUCGCUCACUGAGACAGAAACAGACUGUUGCGGGAACACCGCGCUCCAGUCUUUUUCUUUUGAAAUGGCGAGCUCUAAGAGAAAACAGCCGUCAUACACCAUAAUUGUGGCCAGAUCAUACCUGUUGAGCUUGAUUUCCUCCCCGUAGCAUGCGCGAACUGUUGCGUCUAGCUCCAACAUUUCGCGCAUGCAGGUUUCGAGGAUUUUCGUUCCGUCUCCUUUGGUUCGCGAAAGGAGACACAACAUGCAACGCCACUUGAUCUCUUCCAUUUGUUGUAGCUCCCUUUUGCCCUUGAACCGGGGUCCAAUUGACACCACCUUUGGCUCGUAAGCACUCUCGUUCUGUUUCCGGAGUUCCUCCGGAACCACGCAAAUGCUGUAGGGUUGACAGUAUAAAUUGUCUACAGCAUCUAACAGUGAUUUCGUUGUUUCCCUCCAUCUCUUCAAGUUGGCGUCCUCGCCCAUGGUUUGAAACUAAGAAAAUGAAAAUACUAAUUAGAAGUUAAAAAGAUAUUAACCACAUAUCAAUAUAAUUCGAAACCAUGAAUUGAUUCGUACGUACCUGUUCGGUGUUCUUUACGAGUUCAGUCAUCGAAAUUAGUGGUUGAAUUCGUGAAGGUAAAGAACCGGAGAGAUUGCUGGCAGUGAAACUUAAGAGAUGGGUUGAAAAUAGUGAAGCAAAGGUUUACAAGUUCGAUUUGCGCAGAUGUAAGGCAGGGUACUGACUAGGCUAAGAAAAUUGACAUUAAUGGAAUGGAUUUUUACCAAGGAGUUGUUGCAACACUUUUAUAUGUAAAAGGUUAUGAAUUAAUACCUCUCACGUACUGAUAUUUAUUUUAUAAAAUCAAGUACCUAUACUCAUUCCAUAUACUAUAAAAGUGUAGUAUUGCAAAUUCGGUAACUAUAUGUGGACACUGAUUUUGACGCUAUAUGUAGGCCUUUCUCCUUAUUAAGUUGGAUGACGAUUAAAUUAAAAGUUUGUGAAGUCAAUUUUGAGUCAUUUUAAACUACAGGAUAUAAAGUUACGUCUACAAAUAAAUGAUGUAGUGGUGCUGAUCAUUUUGGACUUUGAAGACACGUGAAACUUUUUUUGUUUUUUAUGAAAUUAUAUAUAUGAAGCUCAUCACAAGGAAAUAGCAUUGACAAAGGUCCACGCCACGGUCUACCCGAAAUUGGGCUGGAGAGAAAAGAACAACAUAAAAAAAAUAGAAAAAAAUAGACAUGUAAUAUUUUAUUACUCACUAAAAUAUGUUUUUAUAUAUCUUAUGUUUCAUAGGAUUUUUCUUAUAAUAGCAUUUUCUCCAUUAAAUGAAAAUUAAUUUUAAAAUUAUUUAAUUUUUGUUUACCUAUCUUUAAUUUAAUUUUACCGUGCUACUAUUGAAUAUAAAAACAAUAUUGCGUUGAAGACAUAUUAGUACAAAUAAGUUCAUGCAUUAGGAGAGUCAAUGAAUUAAUUUCCAGGAAUCUGGUUGUAAAUUAUGUUUCUAUGAAAAGCAGUGAGAAAGUGGGACAAUUAUGUUUGCAGAUUGGAGAGCAAAGCAGUGAGAAAAUGGGCCAGAAAUAAGAAAGAGAAAGAGAAAGAAAAAGUCUGAAUCAUGUUUCACGACCAAAAUGUAUUGGUCAAGGUGGCCUACUUUGUGGAAGCUAUGUAAAGCAGGGGGCUGCGGCAAAUAAUUUGCAAAUUUUUAAUCGCUACAUUACUUUCACUUUUAAUAAAGUUUAUUUUUUACACACACUUUUAAUAAAGUUGUGUCUAGAAAUUAUGAGAUAAUGUAUAAAACAAAAUUUUAUAUUUAAAUUCUAAUUCAAAUGACUCGUUCUUUUUUCUUAUUUUUUCAUCAACUAUAAAAUUAUUUAUCAAAAUUUUAUAGUUAAGCAUUUUUAACAUUUUACUCUUAAGAUAUAAAAUGACAAAUUUAAUCAAUUUAUUCUUUGAUAUAGGUGAUUUUGUAUAAGAUUUGAAUAAUUUUAAUUUUAAAAAUGUAUUUUAAACUAUAACAAUAGUUAUAUGUAUUGCCAAUAAUAUUUUAAAAUAAUGCAUAUAUUUUUUAAAAUAGAAUAUUUUAAUGUAAUGUAAAACUUUUAGUAGAAUAUGAUUUUUUAUACACUUAUUGUAAUAUUUUUAUUUUAAAAAUGUUUUGAUCUCUAAUUUGUUAAUAUUAUUAGAGUCAUUAUAUUUUCAAAGUUUGAUUCUCAAAGAGAAAUAUUCAAAUUGAGUGAGAAUAUGAUCUAUUUUGUGAAAGAAUCGAUAUUUGAUUCUUACUAUGAGCGAGUUUAAUCUUUAAUAAAAUGAGAUGAGAAAGCAAGUAGGACUAGAUUAUUUGAUUCUUACAAGAGCUGGUACUAGUAGGGACUAGAUUACAAGAAAGCAAGUAGGAAAAACUAUGGAUGGUAGUACUUGUCUUUAUCAGGAAAUUUUGUGAUGUAUCUUUUUGUAAGAAAUAGCUUAGUUGUAAGAAAUAGACUAGUUAAAAUCUUUAAAAAAAAGUAAUUAAUUUAUUAUUCCAAUUUCUAAGGAUGGAAAUAUCAGGAUAGUAAUUUGCUGAAGUUGAAAACUAAUGAACCCCAUGUUAAGACUAAAACCAAAUAUAGAAGGGAGACCAGGUUGACUGUAUUUACAGGAGUUUAAUAAUAAUAUAUUGAUAAUAUAAAAUAAUUUUAUAGUGUCAUCCAAUUAUAAAUAAUUAUUAUUUAUAAGACAUUUAAAUUAAUUAUCAUAAAAAUCAAUAAAUUUAUCAUAAUUAUGAAUUGUGAUUAAAUAAUAAUUUAAAAUAAUGCAUAUUCUGUUUUAUCUGCAUACAAACAGUUUUUAAAAAUAAAAAAUGAACAAAACUAAUAUACUAGUUACCUACAAAUUGUUGGUUCUAAGUGAAAUUUAAUUCAAUCUCCUAAAGUAAAAAAUUUUAUUGAUAAAAAAAAAUAUCAUCAAAAGGGGAGGAAAAAUUAAGUUAAAAAUAAUCAGUCAAAUUUUUAAACAAAAAUAGAUCAUCAAUAACUGAUAUACCACACCAAUAUCUCCAUAAAAAAAUGUACGGUUGAUUAGCUUGUUAAUGUUUACAACUAAGCUAUUUCUUACAAAAAGAUACAUCACAAAAUUUCCUGAUAAAGACAUGUACAUAUUUCAUUAAUUAUUUAACAAAUAAAAAAAAACCUUGUUAACCCCUGUGUCCUAAGAAAUUAACAGAUAAAUUAUUUUUUAUAGCAGUUUAUUUAAAAAUUACAUGGUAGCAUAUUUUUCUGUAUCUCAAUAAAAAAAAAAUCUCCUCGAUUCACAUGUUAGCAUUUUUUCAAAAGAAAUUAAUAAAUUGUUUUUUUGUUUGAAAUCAAAAGAAUAAUAUUCGUAUAUGACUUUGUGCAAUUGUUUUUCGUAUCAAACAACAUUUCUCCUAUGCUUAAUGGUUAUUAAGAAAAUCAUGGCAAGUUGAAAUUGUUGUUGAAAGAAGUAUCUAUAUUUAAUGUUAUAUGGUGCUUCAAACAUAUUACCUUUUAAAGGAGAAUGAAUACUAACGGAAAACUAAAAGGAAAAUCACAGCAACAUAAAAAAAAUAAAAACAGAUAAUGAAAUAAAGGGAAAGGAACAGGUAGCACACGAACUUGGAGACACCCACCUUCCUAGCUUUUGGUUGGGUAAGCCAAAUAAGCCAUUACACGUCCCUAACAACUACUAUUAGGGUUGAUUGACCGAAUUGAAAUACUUUUAUAAGCUAAAUACCAAAAUGGGGCUAAUCUAAACAUUUUAUCACUAUGAACUUUUUUUUUUUUUUUACCUCUAAUUAGAUUAAUUCUCCAAUUAAACCAGUGACUUGUUUUUACCGUUAAUUAGUUUUUUUCGUUUUUUUUUUUUUUUGUAAAAACCGUUAAUUAGAUUAAUUGUCCUGGUGAAAUAAAAAGGAAAACAAAAUACUGCCUCACCAUUGGACACUUGGUAGUACCCGACUGAACCAACUUGUAGCAGUGAAAAAUCCGUGCUUUCGUUCCAUCAUCUCUCCACUUUUUUAUGCUAAUUCGGACAGGUAUGUUAUUCUUAUCCGGAACAAAAAAAAAAAAGGAAUAGAUGAUUUUCAAUCAAACAAAAAAAGACUAGGCACAAUAGAGAUUGAGCAUCAACACUUGAAAAUAUAAGAUUAAUUAAAUGAUUAAGAAGAAAUAAAAUGAGAAAAAAAAUCAUAGAUUCAAUUUUUCUUUCUAAUAAAAACUAACAUAUCAAAAAUUAAUUAAUAUUUGAAGAUAAAAAAAAAAAAAACUUUUACCUUCGUUCUUGGUACGACGGUUUUAUACACUCAAACGUCUAAAAGUUACAAAAGUAUUAAGUAGAGUAAUUGCCAACUUUAUUAAAGUUAAGAAAAAGUUGAGCUUUUAUGGAGACCAAUUUGGAGUUCCAUCACCAUUAGACAUGGAGACAGAAACUAAUUACACUGUAAUUGUUAAGAUAACUACAUCCGUGUGUCAUUUGUUUCCUGUUUUUAGACAAAAUAUUCAAGUGUUUUUUAUGCGUGCGUAUGUGCAUCACUAUGAUCAGGCUAUCCCCUCACCAAAUAUUGACUUGUUUCGAAUCCAACUUGUUGGUGGUAGCACCUAAUUUUGAUUAAACUGAAUUUUAGUUCCAAAAACUAUUUGUAGAGGGGCCAAUCAUACACACUAAAGUUCAUUCAAUAAAUGUAUAUGCCACAAAUUAUUUAUAAUUUUAUAUUUUAAAACAUUAAUUGCAUUAUUAUUAGUCUAAAAAAUAUUUAUAUGGAAGACAAAUUAAAUCAUUUAAAAAAAAAAUACCAACAAGGAUCGAAAGGUGUCCACAUAUUUAAUGUUUAACAACACCUCAAAUAAGAUUACUUUUAAGAGAGGAUAGCUAUGGAGAACAAAAAAUAUUUUUUAAAAAAUAAGAUUAUAAAUGUCAAUUUUGAUGUCACGUGACAAAAAAACUUCAUAAAUUUAUAAUAAUUAAUAAUCAUUCAUAUUUAUGCUAAUAAUAUAUUUUUAGGAAAAAGGUUUAUCAUGUUUCAAAAAUCUAUUAAGUCAUAAUAAAUUAGGUCACUUAUUAUUUAUUAUUUCUCGAAAUUCCAUUUCUUUGACGCAGCAAAUUUUUACUUAGUUUUACCUCAAAAAAUGUUUCAAACCCUUUUUCUAGGACAAAAUUAUAAUUUAUUAAGACAAACACAUUGGUAGAUGACUAUUCGUACUGAGUAAGGAGCGCAUCAUGGGGUGGCUUAACAUAACAUACCAAACAUUAUCAUAAACAUGUCUUCGCUAAAGCUUGCAAGGUUAUGGGCCAAAGUAUUCGCAGGCCUACUAACGAGGGAUAGCUUACUGGCCCAUGACUUCAACAUACUUCCUUUUUUUAUCUUUUCACUCUCCAUGUUUUUUUGGGUAAUACUUUUUCACAAAAAUAUCUUUGACGAAAAUUAGUUUCAGUUGAGUGUCUUACCAAGAUCUUGUCAAAAUACUUGUCGAAAAUUAGUUUUUCUUGUGUAUCAAUAACCUGAUAGAAGCAUGUCAAGAUACACAACAAAAGUUGUUUCAUAUCAAAAUAUUUAACAAAAACUAAUUUUCAUUGUGUAUCUUAACAUAUUUGAAACUAGUUUUAUCCAAAUUGGCAACAUGCGAAUAAAAGGGGAUGGGGGGAUGUGUAAAAAGCGUAGAUCUAUGAAUUUCAGAAAAGAAAGAGUGGGGGAUGGAAAGAUCAAAAAGUGGGUUGAAAAAAUCAUGGGCCUAGCUUCAUUUCAUGUGCCUCGGUAUGCUUGUCUGGUUUUGAAUUUUCCUCCUCCAUUAAGCUGGGGGCUUUGCUAGGUGCACCAGACAUAUUGUCUAUGCACCCAGCAUUAAAACAAAAUUCAAAAAAUAUCCUUAAGUGUUUUUUGUUU
rnacentral:lncRNA from 1 species